CUUCCAACUGUUGAGCAACUUAACUUGGCACUUAAUAGAUUUUCUGGAACCAUUCCUAGUUCCAUCACCAAUGCUUCUAAGCUCACCUUUCUAGAGUUGGGAGCAAACACAUUUUCGGGGUUUAUUCCAAACACAAUUGGUAAUUUAAGAAACCUUAAGUGGCUCGGCUUGGCUAAUAACUCCUUGACAUCUUCAACCUCAAAAUUGAGCUUUCUUUCCUCUUUGGCAAAUUGCAAGAAAUUAAGAUUCGUAAACUUAAUAGGCAAUCCACUGGACGGCUUCCUUCCAAGUUCAAUAGGUAAUCUUUCUGUGUCUUUGGAAACACUUGGCAUCGGCAAUUGCAGUAUUAGUGGCAACAUUCCUCCAGCAAUUAGCAAUUUAAGCAACUUGUUGACCUUAGUAUUACACGGCAAUAAAUUGACUGGACCAAUCCCAACUACAUUCGGCCAACUGCAGAAACUCCAAGGCUUAGAUCUUGCAUUCAAUAAGUUGGUAGGUUCAUUCCCAGAUGAGCUUUGCCAUCUGGCAAGGCUGGAUCAAUUGAUCUUAUUUGGCAAUAAGCUUUCAGGAUCUAUACCUUCAUGCUUAAGCAACCUCACUUCUCUAAGAUCUCUCUAUUUAGGGUCUAAUAAGUUUACUUCUGUUAUUCCCUCAACCUUCUGGAGCCUAAAAGACAUCUUGUUCUUUGACUUUUCAUCAAAUUUCUUGGUUGGUCCUCUUUCUUUAGAUAUAGGAAAUUUGAAGGUGCUUCUAGGAAUAAGUUUAUCGAAAAAUAAUUUAUCCGGUGAUAUCCCAGCCACAAUUGGAGGACUGAAAGAUCUUCAAUUUAUGGACCUAGCAUAUAAUAGAUUGGAAGGCCCAAUUCCUAAAUCAUUUGGUGACUUGAUAAGUUUAGAAGUUCUGAAUUUAUCAAAUAAUAAAAUCUUUGGGUCUAUUCCAACAUCCAUGGAGAAACUUUUUUACCUCGGAGAGUUAAAUCUCUCUUUCAAUAAACUAGAAGGUGAGAUUCCUAGUGGAGGAACUUUUGCCAACUUCACAGCUAAGUCAUUUAUGGGAAAUGAGUUUUUGUGUGGUUUACAAAAUCUUCAAGUCCAACCAUGCAAAGUUAGCAAGCCGAGGACAGAACAUAAAUCAAGGAAAAAGAUACUUCUCAUUGUGAUUGUUUCGCCAUUGAGUAUUGCUCUAACAAUAGCAAUCACUCUAGCUCUCAAAUCUAAGCUGAUCGAAUGUGGAGAAAGAAGCACAGUGUUGUCAAAUGAUAGUAUCUUGUCAUCACAAGCAACACUAAGAAGAUUUUCAUACUUAGAACUUUUACAAGCAACAGAUAAUUUUGCUGAAAACAGCAUAAUUGGCAGAGGAGGUUUCGGUUCCGUUUAUGGAGCAAGACUUGAAGAUGGGAUGAAGAUUGCAAUAAAAGUGUUUCACAGGCAAUGUGCAAGCGCAUUGAAGAGUUUUGAGGCUGAAUGUGAAGUGAUAAAAAAAAUUCGCCAUCGAAACCUUAUCAAAGUUAUCAGCAGUUGCUCGAACGAUGACUUCAAAGCAUUAGUCCUAGAAUACAUGUCCAACGGGAGCUUAGGGGAUUGGCUGCAUUCGAGCAAUUACGUGCUGAAUAUUUUUCAAAGGUUGAACAUACUAAUUGACGUUGCAUCAGCUUUAGAAUACCUCCACUUCGAUCAUUCAACUCCUAUUAUUCAUUGUGACUUAAAGCCUAGUAAUGUAUUGUUGGACGAAAAUAUGGUUGCUCAUUUGAGUGAUUUUGGCAUAGCAAAGCUUUUAAGUGGAGAAGAUGAGUCUACGAUGCGAACAAAAACCCUUGCCACUAUAGGUUAUAUGGCACCAGGUUUGCUUCAAACAACUUUUUUUUUUUAAACUUCAUUUUAAAUUUUCUAAAUCAUUGAUUUUUACGAUCCUCAUAUCAAAUUGUUAUUGAUUAUUUAUCUAAUUGUGAAAUUAAUUUGAUUCAUAGAGUAUGGCAUAGGAGGAGAAGUAUCUACAAAAAGCGAUGUUUACAGCUAUGGGAUUAUGCUGAUGGAAACUUUUACCAAGAAAAAACCCACAGAUGAAAUUUUUGUUGGAGAAUUGAGCUUAAAGCAUUGGGUUAAUGACUUGCUUCCUAAUUCAUUAGUGGAAGUUGUGGACAAAACUCUGCUAAGUGGAGAGGAAAAACACUCUGCAGCAAAGGAGCAAUGUCUGUUGUCUAUCUUUAGUUUGGCUCUGGAGUGUACAAUGGAAUCACCGGAAAAGAGGAUUAAUGCAAAAGAUAUUGUUACCGGAUUACUCAAGAUAAGAGACACAUUCAGUAAAAGGAUAGGAAAUUUAAGUUAAUUUCGUUUGCUUUCAUUGAUAGUUAAUUCGAAUUCAUGUAAUAAGUGUAAGAAUCUUAUAUCUUUUCCUUUGAUAUAUUUUUUUUCUUGAGAAAACUGUUGUAGUCAUCUUGUUUCCAUGGGCAGAGUUGAUUUAGUUCUUCCAAAAAAUGCUACUGAUGACCUUUGUUUAAUACUUUCUCUUUUUUUGCAUGUGUUUAGGUAGAACAGUGGUUUGGCUGCAGGCUAAUAAGUCAAGCUACGCCAAAAGCGUAUGAUUUAAUUUAUUAAACAUAACUUCAAGUUCAAGAAGUGUUUCUCAUUGCCACCAAUGCUUUGGACACCUGUUGGAAGGUUUGUUGUCCUCAGCUUUUGUUUAGAGCAAAAGUUCGAGUCCCAUAAAGGCUCAAACAUUCCUUUCCUUCAUCCCGAGGGCGCCUUCUGUCCUCUGUUUUCUGUUUCCACACACAAAUAGCACAAAGAAUUUAGAAUGACAACUGGGACAUAUAUAAGAGUGAAAUAAUUAAAAAAAUUAUGCUUUUUUGUUUGUCGUGUUAAAAUCGUAAGUACCGAAGUACUGUGAAAGAGAUUAAUUUACAGAAACUGAAGCCAAGGGUUCAAAAAAAACUAUUGAUGUAGCUAGAAUGCAAUGUCAUAUUCAUACAGAGAUGAAGUAUAUUAUUUACGGCUGGUAAGGACUAGGAAUUGAUGUAGCUAGAAUCCAAAGAUGAUAAGGUAUGUUGUGCACUAUUGUUUUAUUCUACGGUCAAUCUUGACCCUUGGUGCUUGGCUCUCAAUCUUGUCCAUUGAUCUUCUCUGAUCUUGGAAACUUCAAGACCUUUCACUCUCAUGCCUUAUUAUUGGUGUCUUCCAUGCUGUAGCUUUCAAAUACAAGCUUUCCCGCCAACUUGCCAAUUAUUUGUCCGUUGGUGCAUUUUAUCAAACAGUUUGGAUACUUAUACCAAACGCCUCCUGUUUUAACUCCCCCCUCAAGCUCAAGCAUGUGGGAAGACAUUAAUAAGCUUGUUUCUCAAGUAUAUGUAUCUGAAAAUUAAAUUUUAUAAAUUAUAUUCGGACUCUACAUUUUCUAAUGAACAUUGGUUUGGCUUAUAAGCUUAUUAUACUCAGGUUUGGUAGGAGCCAUGUCACAAUGUUAACGCUAACCAGCAGUACUGCCAAAGCUGGCCAACUCAGCCUGCAAGUUCAUAGCAACCAUAGUUACAGUCCUAGUCCGGUACAAAAAUCGUAAAUAUCAUUUACAUUACAAUGGUGUGGGGGGGGGGGGGGGGGGGGGGGGGGGGUGGCUGGAGAGGGAAUCAACAAAGAUCUAGAACGAAGGGUAGGCUUGUAUCCGUAACCCAUGUCACAGUGUUAAUGCUAACCGUGGACCUUAUUAUAUUAGUUUCUGGACUAUUAUUACUUUUGAAUUGCCAUCUUUGAAUUUACGUUCAUUUCUGCCUCGACAAGAUGUUUGUAAAAAUAUGCUAAUUAUUAAUGUGCCGUGUACAAAUAAGCAUGUUACUGUGCAAGGAUUGUAGUCAUGAUACAGUGGUGCAAAAUGUACAUGCUACUUCUUCUUUUCCUCAGUUAGGAUCACCGUCGUCACCAUUUAAUUCUAAGUCCACCCAUGCGGCCUAUGCAAUUGAAAUCAUGUGACCAUGUAAUUUUAGGUUCUGAUCUUCCUUGUGGGGUUAAACCUCAAAACUGUGACCAUUUUGGGACUUUUAAUCAGUUCCAAUCAUUUUCUGGUUCCCAUUCGUCCACCCAAGCCUUGAUUCCCCCGAUAUAGCAUGGCAAUAUAUAUAGGAAUAUUAAGGUUGUGUACAGUUUUUUUCUUUUCUGUUUUUAAUUUGAUAUAAAUUAUCAAUCAUGAAUCUACAUAAAGUUUCAACUAGGCUACUACCACAAUAAACAUUUGGAUGAACUAUUAUUGAAACCUUAUUGAGAAGUAGGACAUGUCGCAUACCAAUGCACUGACAUAUCUUCAAAUAGUGGUAACUCCACACAACAUGGCACAAUAAAUUAAGAGUUAUAUAGAUAAAAUCUUUCACUCUUUGGUAAUCAUCAAUGUCGGCAUGACAAUGCGUCCCACAAAUAUGGCUCCUUAUCAAAAUUCAUAAAUCAAAACAAAAAUAGAGAAUCAUAUUUGUUCCAGAUUGUAGUGAUGGUUGUUGAUGCACUCACAAUUUACAAUUUUAUUUAAUAUCUUCAAAUUCGCAUUUUAAAAUGCCCAAAUGUUUGUGUAUACAUAAUUAGAUAAAAUCUUUCAUUCUUUGGUAAUCAUCAAUUUCACUAUUAUUCGCUUUAUUAUGUUUGUUUCUUUCAGUAUGUUAAAAGAUUAUGUUGUGAAUUUGUUUUACAGGCCGCCCGUAAGUCUGCGCCCACUGUUGUGAAUUUGUGUAUACAUAAUUAGUAAUCGAUUCUCAAGCACGGACAUUUAAAAGCACUGCCGAAAGACAAAAUUUUAAUUUACUAUUUUUUGUCUUUUAAUUUUCUUUAAGUUUUAAUGAUUCCGCAUUUUAAAAUCCUGUGGAACGUGUAUGUAAAAUUCUUUUAUCUUUUAGAGGAAAACGGGCAAGAGAAGAAUAUUUGGCAAAGGAAUUGCAACCGCAUUUGGAGCUAUAUUUAAUUUUGUCUUUUAAGUCUUUUACACUUGUUUUUGUUAUUGAUGUUAGCUUGGAUGUGUGUGCGUGUGCGACUGAAUUCAACUUACAUGCUAUUGAUGCAGCCACCAAAAAGGGGUGGUCCAUCAUCAAUCAACAAGGUUUAUUAUUAUUAAUUUCCAUAUUGAUUUUCUUAAUUAUAAAUAAUACUAAUGUUAUUUCAUAGUUAUAAAUAUAUUAGAAUUAAUCGAAAUCAUUUUUUAGUGCGGCAUGGCUAAAACUACCCUCUUCUUUUUUUUUAUAAGUAAUUACUACUUUCACAUUAAGAAAAAUACUCCUAUUUUUUAGGAAAAGUCAAGUACCUGUAGUUGUGAAGACUCGAGCUCACUCCCUUAUGAUAAAUCUUCAUAUUAAUUACGUAAAUAUCCUCUAAAAUUUUAAAUUAGCUAUUCAAAAUUUGAUGUUAUACGGGUAUUUCAUUUAUUUGAGUAGGGGUUAGGGGUCAAUUGGAUACAAAUUCAAAAUUAUCCUUACUUGAGAUGGUGAUAAAAAUUGGGGAUUUAAUUUGGAUGUCAUUAGCUACAAAUAUUAAACUCAUACAUUUAAUUCAAAAUUGGAGGGCUGAUAUAAGCGCAUCAUCCCACAACCUCUCCAAUGAAAAAUUAACACGUUUCUUGUGUGCAUUUGAUCAGAAUCCUGAAAAUUAAUCACAAAAUUGUCCUGGAAAAAAAAAUACUUACAUAAAUGGUUUGAAAAAUCUAGAUUUCAAGUUGUCUAUAUUAGGUUGAUAUUUUUAUAAAUAGUCAUCCUCUCAAAAAAAUUCCGUCAAAAUAUAUUUUAAUUUUAUGUUAAUUCAUAAACAUGAAAAAAUCAUUUCAGAAUUAAUUAAAACAUAAUUUAUUGUUUCUCAAAAAAGGUAGAACUUAGUGAUAAGAAAAAAGUAUCUCAAAUAUAUGUAAAAAAAAAAAAAAUCUUGGUUAGUUGGAAUGAUUGAAUUUGUUUUUUUUUUUCUUUUUUAAGAAUUAAGACAAUCGGAUUGAUUGAGUAAUAAUAAUAUAUAUUUAUUUGGCAAAUGGCAGGUAGGCUUUCGUCUCAUGCAGAUUGAUUAGAGAGAAAAUAUAACAAUUUUAAGCUCGUCAGAUUCGAAGCUGCUUUCCUGUCGUGUGGGGAUCACUUCCGUGUCUUAUUUUUCUAGAAAAAUCAGGACCAUUGGAUUUAUGCGAAUCGUACUGAACAUUGGAAUUGAUGUAUAAGAAAAAAAUUCUGUAGUUUAAGAAGAACAAAAAGGCAUGUUGAAUAGAUUACAAUAGUUUAAGGAAAAAAAUUAUUCAAUUGGGAAUUUUUUUUUUCUUUAAUUUUUGUUGUACUUGAUUGAGAUUUCUCCUUAGUCCUUAGAGUUUUAAGUUUGGAAACCGUAGGAUCAGUAAUUUCGUACUUCCUUUGCAAGCUGAGUAUAAGGAUGAAAUUCUUUUAAGAAAUUAAAAAAGAUAAAAAAAAGCAUACCAAUAGGUAAUUAUAAAUAACCACAAAUAAAUAUAAACAAAAUGUUUAUGAAGUAAAUUAAACAUGCUCAUAUUAUUUUCUUUUAUUUUCUACUUGGAAAUCCAUAAAUACACUAAUCCAGUAUUACUAAUUUCAGACAGAAAAAUUUGAAUUUAACCAGUAUACACUAAUCCAGUAUUAUUUUUAUUAUUAUUUUAAUUUGUUUAUAAAUUACUAUUUUAAUUUUCACUUUUUAUUGGGUUGUUUAACGGAUUAGUGAAGCUGGUGGUCGUUGAUGCACUCACAAGGUACAAUUUUAUUUUAGAAUUUCAAAUUCGUAAUUUAAAAUGCAGGCACAUUAUGUAUACAUAAUUAUUGAUUUUCAUAUGUGGGUGUCUUGAAAUAUUGCCAAAAGAUCAAACUUUAAUAAACGAUUUUUGAUCUUUUUUUUUCCUUUGUACCUAAAGUUUGAGUGAUAUCCGCAUUUUAAAUUCAUGUGGACCAAAAGCUAAUGUAUGCACAAAAUUCUUUUAUUUUUUCCGAGAAAAAUGGGUAAGAGAAGAAGAUUUUUCUCUUGAAAAAGAAAAACUAAUACGUUGCAAGCAUAGGAAAGAGGCCAGUGUUUUGGAUUUGAAUUUAGUAUUGGGUUGAAUUUUAUGCUAAGCUCUUUUAUAAUACUUUAUAGAAUAAAAAUGUAAGGGGUAUUUGGUUAGGCAUGUACUUUGUAGAAUAAAAAUGUAAUAAUGUAAGUCAGUGCAAUGAUCUGCUGUCAUAAUAGUUGUAAAUAUUUAUGUGUAAUAUAGUAACAUGAUGCUUAAUCAGUUAAAAAAAAAUUGUAUAUCUUUUUUUAUUUUUUUUUAUUGUGAUCAAUAUAACUAGUCAAAUUUAUUUUUAAAUAUUUUUUUAAAAAUAUUUUUAUCGUGUGUUUGCUCCAUUACAGGGUUUCUUCAAUUUAAAAUAGAGAAUCAUUUGUGUUCUAGAUUAAUCGUGGGUCUAUAUCCAAAUCCAAAAAUUGACUAACUUGAUUUCUAUUAAGUUCUCAACCCUAACAAGAAAAAUAGAAGAUUAAAAAUGACUAUUUUGGUUUCUAUUAAUUUGAGUAACGCUUAAUAUUUAUCAUACAAUAGUCACUUAUAUUAUCAAAAUCUUGGGUCGAAAAUAUUAGGAUAGGUGAUAAUUGGAAUUAAGUUGUAGAUAAGAUAGCCUUUCAAAAAAAAGAAAAGAAAAAAAGUUGUAGAUAAGAUAGAAAUGGAUUUGGAGAGAGAUUGGAAUCCUGGCUAAUCCGGUGCACGUUGUUGCGUUAAAUUCUCGUUGACUUCACGUUGACCGAAGCAUUAUUGGAAGAAACAAGCAAGCUUAUUUUCUUCUCUCAUUUUUUACUUUUGUCUAAAUUUAUUGAUGUGAGGCCUCUGAGAUGGUAAAGUGUUAAAUCUGAGAAGAGUACCCACACACCCAUUAUCCUAUUACUCUUAUUUUAUCACAUGCAGAGACGUCAACGUUUGAUUCGCACAGAAAAAAAUUUGCGAGGAUUGUGAGGGUUGAUUCAAUAUAAUUUAGAUGCAAAGUGUUUACAAGUGCGAUGCUUCGUAAGUGCACCCGAAUCAUUAUAAACUCACCUUAUUUUCAUAGUGAUUAUUUCAUCUGCAUGUGAAUAUAAUCAUAUGUGGAGAUUUUUUUUUCCCUAAACUAUGAUCUUCUCUGGUAUUAAGGUGUUAUAUCUUUUAAAUUAUAAUUAUUAUUAGUAAAAAACUGCAACUAUGAAAAAGAAAUUUAAUAUUAUGUCCUGAAUAUAAUUAUUAAAUAAUAAUUUUGACAAAAUUAAUGAAUAUAUACAGAUUUUUUUAUCAUAUAAAUGUAAAAUUAUAUCAACUUAGCUUCUAAGCUAUACAACGGCUACUAUUUACUAAAUACUUUAGUGUCGUAGUUUUUAAGAUAUAUUUAUCCAACCUCAAUCCCAAACAUAACCUGUAAGGAUAAAAAAUUUCAUCCUAAAAAUUAUACGUCUUGUGACUUAUUUAAUUUAUAUUUUUGUUAUUUAUAUUUACUAAUUAUAGUCAUCUUUUAAUAAAUUACAAUUGAAGGAAGGUGGUUGAUGUUGUCGAGACACACACACAAAGAUAUAUUGGAAGUGCUUAUGUCCACUCGAAGUUGUGGGGAGUUAAUGCAUGUAUUGAUUUAUUGGGAGUGUUAAUGCAUGUAUUGAUUGAUUGAGUGAUUGAAUACUGUUUGAUUGCUUCAUAUCAAUUCUAGAAAGUUUAUUUCUUUGUGAAAUUUCAACGAAACGUGUUUUUUUAGAAUAAUAAGGGUGUUUUAAGUAAUUUUAAAAAAUGAAUGGACUAAUUAGAAUUAAUUAUUAGGUAAUUAACUCGAAUUGUAGAGGGUAAGCAAACAUUUAUCCUAAUUAUAUUAUGAUAAAUCCUUUUCCAAUUAGAAUUAGGAAACCAUAGAUAUACUGAAUUUUUUUUAUUUCCCUUCGCGAAAACGGAUUAGAGAAUUAGAAAACAAUCCUAGUGAUACUAUUGUUAGGUUUAAAACACUGCAUAGAUGGUAAAAACAUUGGAAUUGAUGUAGAUUAAUUUGUUAAUUGCUAUCGUACUGAACAUUGUUUUAUGCAAAUUAAUUUGAGAAUUAGAAAAUAUUUUGUUGCAUGCAAACUUUUUGUUUUAUGCAAAUCGUACUGAACAUUGGGACUGAUGUUUAAGAAAAAAAUUCUGUAGUUAAAGAAAAACAAAAAGGCAUGUUGAAUAGAUUACGAUAGUUUAUUCAAUUGGGAAUUUUUUUUUUUAAUUUUGUUGUACUUGAUUGAGAUUUCUCUUUAGUCCUUUCGUACUUCCUUUGUAAGCUGAGUAUAAGGAUGAAAUUCUUUUAAGAAAUUAAAAAAGAAAAAAAAGCAUGCCACUACGCAAUUAUAAAUAACCACAAAUAAAUAUAAACAAAAUGUUUAUGAAGUAAAUUAAACAUGCACAUAUUAUUUUCUUUUAUUUGCUGCUUGGAAACCCAUAAAUGCACUAAUCCAAUAUUACAAUUAAUUUCAGACAGAAAAAAUUGAACUCUAGGCUGCAGUUUGACUCAAAAUGAUGACCACUGGCUUCGCACCAUUCAACCGGUAUACAUUUCUACAAACCGAACAACGCUAUUGAUUUUUAUUAUUUUUUUAAUUUUUUUAUAAAUUACUAUUUUAAUUUUCACUUUUUAUUGGGUUGUUUAACGGAUUAGUGAAGCUGGUGGUCGUUGAUGCACUCAUAAGGUACAAUUUUAUUUUAGAAUUUCAAAUUCGUAUUUUAAAAUGCAGGCACAUUAUGUAUACAUAAUUAUUGAUUUUCAUAUGUGGGUGUUUUGAAAUAUUGCCAAAAGACCAAACUUUAAUAAACUAUUUUUGAUUUUUUUUUCCUUUUUACCUAAAGUUGGAGUGAUAUCCGCAUUUUAAAUUCAUGUGGAACAAAAGCUAAUGUAAGCACAAAAUUCUUUUAUUUUUUCCGAGAAAAAUGGGUAAGAGAAGAAGAUUUUUCUCUUGAAAAAGAAAAAAAAAUACAAUGCAAGCAUAGGAAAGAGGUCAGUGUUUUGGAUUUGAAUUUAGUAUUGAGCUGAAUUUUAUGCUAAGCUCUUUUAUAGUACUGCGAUUAAUAAGCUAGCUCAGGAUUUGCUUUUGCUUUUACUUCAAGUAAAAGAAUGAGGAAGCCUUUUGUUUUUUUGUUUGAUUUUUGACUAUAUAUGUUACCUAUAUAGAGAGUUGAGGUAGCAGCCUUAAGUGAUGGUGAUAAAAAGAUUAAGCAGCGCACACAAUCUUACUGUCGUCGAGACCAUCCAGUGAUGGCUCUUGUUUUUUUGUUACGUUAGCUUUAGUGGAAAGAAGGACCAAUUUAACAAAGACUAGAUUUGGUGGCUUACUAUGUUUAAUGUAAUGCUUAUUCUCAGCGCACACAAUCUUACUAUGUUUAAUGUAAUGGUUAUGUUGAAUGAUCUUCUAUGAUUGUGAGUAGUAUAGUAUAAUUGCAAGGGGCCUGGGCUCCUAUGAUGAAUAACAGUAACACAUUACUGUGAUUGAGAAAACUCAGUUCCAAUAAACUCUUCAUUUACUCAUUGCGGAGAUUGAAUGGCAAACAGAGAAUAGAAUGAAGCAGAAGAAUCUCAUUGUUAGGUUUUGAUGAUUUCAGAUGCUUUUUAAAAAAAAACAAUUGUGACAUCUUUGAUUUAAGGUAGUUUUGCAAAAAACAAAACAUAUAAAAAUUAAGAGGGAUGAUUUAACUGACGAUUACAAUCAUUACAGCAAUGCUGAUGAGUGAUAAAUCACUUGAAAUUUACUUGUCAGUUGCUGAAAUGAUGAAAAAAAACAAUAAACGAUAACAGUAAUAAUGUUCCCUUGCUGAAAUUCAAUUUUGACUUUCGACUCUUGGCUUUUAUGGAGAGUAAAAUGACUUGUAUAUUAUACUCAUACAAUCCACUCUACAUAAUGAUAUCGUUUUAGUAAGGCAAUGGCUGAUGAUCUCCAUUUAAAAACUACAUCAAUUUUUUUUUGCUUCAUUUAACUUUUUGGUUGUUGAAAAUAACCUUAAUUACCAAAUAAUUGGAGAAAGAGUUAAGAACAUUUAACAAAUUUAUGUGCAAAAAAAAAAGAAGGAGAAGUUGAAGAGAAAGGGUGCUUGCAGAAGUGGGUGUCAAAGAUAAAUCGGUCCAUAAGAAUUAUUGUGGUUAUUUUUUGGCAAUAUAAAAAAUUUUUAGUAAGUAAAAAUAAUUUUUUUUUCGAUUUACUAAAAAAUUAACUAAAAACUUCUGCGAUAGCAUUUUUUAUGGGUGCAGAUACCCUCCCUUUAAAAAAAAUAUAAUAAUUACUGCUUAAUAUAGUAUUAAAUACGAAAAUAUCAAUAUUUGACUACUCAAAUUUAUGUCAUUAGGUCCUUCAAAUUUAAAAUGGAAGAUAUGAAAGGAAAUAUAUAUAAAUUUCAUUGUCCUGGGAAAGGACCCUCUUAUAAUCUUAUAAUAUUUGAACUUUGAUAGAUUUUUUGAAACAAAUUUAGAUAGAUUUUUUGAAACAAAUUUACUUUUAUUUGUGUACAAUCAAUAUUUACUUAUUUAUUAUAUUUUAAUUUAUUAACUAUCAAUCAUGUUAAUAUAUUUAGUCAGAAAAAUCAUAUCAAGAGAAAAUCAUGACCCCACGCACGGAUAAAUACGUUAAUUUCUAUACUAUUCACUUUCCUGUAGAAUCAAUUAUUUAAAAUGCAAGUUUGUGGCUACAGAAAACUCGCCAAAGAAAGAAGAUAAUAACAAUUGAGCAUUGAUAGCAAAACUAAUGCAUCCAAUUCUUCUUGACUUGAUGAGAUGGCGCCAUAACGUAGAAACAAGUACCUAAAUUGACCGGCACUGAGUGGUGUGAAUACUACCAGCCAGUUCAUCUCUUCCAGUCGUGCUUAAUCACAAUCACAAACACCACGAGAUCGACAUUUGCAUUAUAUAUAUCUUCAGCAAUCGAAACACCUUGCAUUACCAAAUUAACCAGCAACAAACAAAGCAAUCUUUCAUGGAGAGAAACCUUAGUCUCAGUAUGAUCACUGUGUCAUUAACCCACUGCCUGCUUCUUUGCUUGGUUGUUGCAGCAGCAGCAGCAGCAAGCAGCAAUAUUACCACAGACCAACAAGCUCUUCUUGCCCUGAAAGAUCAUAUAAUUUAUGAUCCGACCAACCUUUUAGCCCAUAAUUGGACCUCGAACACCUCUCUUUGUACCUGGAUUGGCAUCACUUGUGAUGCCAAUAGCCAUAGAGUCACAACCUUAGAUAUUUCUCAAUUCAAUCUACAAGGCACCAUCCCUCCUCAACUUGGAAACCUCUCUUCACUCACAACGCUUAAUCUUAGUCAUAAUAAGCUUUCUGGAAGCGUUCCCCCCUCCAUCUACACCAUGCAUACGCUAAAAUUUCUAGACUCCACUGCUAACCAGCUCUCUGGUUCAGUGUCUUCCUUCGUCUUCAACAUGUCUUCAAUAUUAGACAUUCGUUUGACCAAUAACAGACUUUCUGGUGAGCUUCCGAAAAAUAUUUGCAACUAUCUUCCUCAUUUGAAAGCCCUUUUUUUGGACAAAAACAUGUUUCAUGGCAAAAUUCCUUCUGCUUUAUCAAAGUGCAAACAACUGCAACAAUUAAAUUUGCAGUUCAAUAAUUUAUCCGGUGCAAUACCAAAAGAAAUCGGCAACUUGACUAUGCUCAAAGGGAUAUAUCUCCUCUACAACAAACUCCACGGUAUGUUCACAAUACUAUAUAAAUAUUUUAAUUUAUCACUUAUUAUCUUUCUUGAAUAAUUUAACUAAGAUCUUGUAAGUGAGAUUUUUUGCAUCUAUGUUAAUAACCAGGUGAGAUACCCCACGAAAUCGCUAAUCUUCAAAAUCUAGAGGCUUUAGGGCUUGGAAUGAACAACCUAGUUGGUGUGUUACCAGCUCCCAUCUUCAACAUGUCAACACUGAAGGUACUUAUCCUCAUAAAUAACUCUCUCUCCGGAAGUCUUCCAUCAAGAAUGGACCUUUCACUUCCAACUGUUGACCAUCUUAACUUGGCACUUAAUAGAUUUUCUGGAACCAUUCCUAGUUCCAUCACCAAUGCUUCUAAGCUCACCUUUCUGGAGUUGGGAGGAAACACAUUUUCGGGGUUUAUUCCAAACACAAUUGGUAAUUGUUGUUUGUGAAAGCAAAUCCAGAAAACCAAAACGGCAGAAGACUUUGCGUUUAGAAGCUGGAAACACUUAAACUCAAAACGGCACAGGAGCCUGCGUUUUGGUGAGUAAAAGAAAUGCACUCCUGGACGACGUAUGGGUUUGACGUUUAGAUUUAAGUGAUUCACGCGUAUAUCACGUGCUUGAGUUCAGCCUUGCAAAGUUCGUUAUAUGUCGUUAGGAGCACGAAGAGCUCACGUGAGGUGCUGGGGUUUUUCUGGGUUUAUUAGCUAAAGCUGUUAUGGAACAGCUGAUGUGGAAGCAACGGACUGGAGAGCAGAGAGAGCUAAAGAUAGAGAAGGGAACUGGUUAUAUAAGCUAGUUAUAAUCUGUCUUUUAGGGACUAAGCAUUUACUCUGUAAUUCAUCUGAAAGAAAUCAAUAAAGCUGUGUUCUUUCCCUCCCGUGGAUGUAAGCUAGAGAAGUCUAGCUGAACCACGUUAAGAUUCUUUGUUCUUUCUUUACAUUACUUUCUUUUGAUUCUUUAGACCAAUUUUGUUUACCAUUUAAGUUCCAUAGAUUUCAUCUUAGUCAUAGCUUUUCGGUAAGCCAUCUUGCUGCAUCUUGUUCUGUUGGCUGGAGAUCUUGGGGCAGAGUCUUGGGUUGCUCUAUCAGUCUUUAGCACCUGAGAUUCUACAGUAAUUUAAUAAACCUUGAGUGGCUCAACUUGGGUAAUAACUCCUUGACAUCUUCAACCUCAAAAUUGAGCUUUCUUUCCUCUUUGGCAAAUUGCAAGAAAUUAAGAGUCAUAGGCUUAACAGGCAAUCCACUCAAUGGUAUCCUUCCAAGUUCAGUAGGUAAUCUUUCUAUGUCUUUGAAAACACUUGUCAUCGGCAAUUGCAGUAUUAUUGGCAACAUUCCUCGAGUAAUUGGCAAUUUAAGCAACUUGUUGGCCUUAUCAUUAGAAGGCAAUAAAUUGACUGGAUCAAUUCUAAUUACAUUCGCCCGACUACAGAAACUCCAAGGCUUAGAUCUCGCAUUCAAUAAGUUGGUAGGUUCAUUCCCAGAUGAGCUUUGCCAUCUAGCUAGGCUGGCAGAAUUGGUCUUAUUUGGCAAUAAGCCAAAUAAGCUUUCAGGAUCUAUACCUUCAUGCCUAAGUAAUUUCACUUCUAUAAGAUCUCUCUAUUUAGGGUCCAAUAGGUUUACUUCUGUCAUUCCCUCAACUUUCUGGAGCCUAAAAGACAUCUUGUUCUUUGACUUUUCAUCAAAUUUCUUGGUUGGUACUCUUUCUUUCGACAUAGGUAAUUUGAAGGUGCUUCGAGGAAUAAAUUUAUCAGAAAAUAACUUAUCGGGUGAUAUGCCAGCCACAAUUUGAGGACUAAAAAACCUUCAAAUUAUGGACCUAGCAUAUAAUAGAUUGGAAGGGCAAAUUCCUGAAUCAUUUGGUGACUUGACAAGUUUGGAGCUUUUGAAUUUGUCAAAUAAUAAAAUCUCUGGGUCUAUUCCAAAAUCCAUGGAGAAACUCUUUUACCUCCAAGAGUUAAAUCUCUCUUUCUAUGAACUAGAAGGUGAGAUUCCUAGUGGAGGAAUUUUUGCCAACUUCACAGCUGAGUCAUUUAUGGGAAAUGAGUUAUUGUGUGUUUUGCCAUUGAGUAUUGCUCUAACAAUAGCAAUCACUCUAGCUCUCAAAUAUAAGCUUAUUGAAUGUAGAAAGGGAAGAACAGUGUUGUCAAAUGAUAGUAUCUUGUCAUCACAAGCAACACUAAGAAGAUUUUCAUACUUAGAACUUUUACGAGCAACAAAUAAUUUUUCUGAAAACAACAUAAUUGGCAUAGGAGGUUUUGGUUCUGUUUACGGUGGAAGACUUGAAGAUGGGAUGAAGAUUGCAAUAAAAGUGUUUCACCAGCAAUGUGCAAGCGCAUUGAAGAGUUUUGAGGCUGAAUGUGAAGUGUUAAAAAAUAUUCGCCAUCGAAACCUUAUCAAAGUUAUCAGCAGUUAUUCAAACAAUGACUUCAAAGCAUUAGUCCAAGAAUACAUGUCCAACUGGAGCUUGGGGGAUUGGAUGCAUUCUAGCAAUUAUAUGCUGAAUAUAUUUCAAAGGUUGAACAUAAUGAUUGACGUUGCAUCAGCUUUAGAAUAUCUUCACUUCUAUCAUUCAACUGCUAUUAUUCACUGUGACUUAAAGCCUAGUAAUGUAUUGUUGGACGAAAAUAUGGUUGCUCAUUUAAGUGAUUUUGGCAUAGCAAAGCUUUUAAGUGGAGAAGAUGAGUCUAUGAUGCGAACAAAAACCCUUGCCACUAUAGGUUAUAUGGCACCAGGUUUGCUUCAAACAACUUUUUUUUUAGUUCAUUUUAAAUUUUCCAAAUCAUCGAUUUUUACGAUCCUCAUAUCAAAAUGUUAUUGAUUAUUUAUCUAAUUGUGAAAUUAAUUUGAUUCAUAGAGUACGGCAUAAAAGGAGAAGUAUCUACAAAAAGUGAUGUUUACAGCUAUGGGAUUAUGUUGAUGGAAACUUUUACCAAGAAAAAACCCACAGAUGAAAUUUUUGUCGGAGAAUUGAGCUUAAGGCGUUGGGUUAAUGACUUGCUUUCUGCUUCAUUAGUGGAAGUUGUGGACAAAACUCUGCUAAGUGGAGAGGAAAAAUAUUUUGCAUCAAAGGAGCAAUGUCUGUUGUCUAUCUUUAGUUUGGCUCUGGAGUGUACAAUGGAAUCACCGGAAAAGAGGAUUAAUGCAAAAGAUAUUGUUACCAGAUUACUCAAGAUAAGAGACACAUUGAGUAAAAGGAUCGGAAAUUUAAGUUAAUUUCGUUUGCUUUCGUUGAUAGUUAAUUCAAAUUCAUGUAAUAAGUGUAAGAAUCUUAUAUCUUUUCCUUUGAUAUUUUUUUUUUUGAGAAAACUGUUGUAGUCAUCUUAUUUCCAUGGGUAGAGUUGAUUUAGUUCUUCCAAGAAUUAAUUGAGCUUGUUUCACAAGUAUAUGAAUCAGACAGUUAAAUUUUAAAAAUUAUAUUCGGACUCUACGUUUUGUAAUGAACAUUGGUCUGACUUGUUAUACAUUUAUGCGGACAUUCAAGAGCAAAUAUUUUGAUUUACUAUUUUUUGUCUUUCAAUUUUCUUUUAGGUUCUGAUGACGUGCGCAUUUUAAAAUCCUAAGGUACAUAUAAAAUUCUUUUAUUUUUCGGAGGAAAAUGGGUGAGAGAAGAAGAUUUGGCAAAGGAAUUGCAACGGCAUUUGAAACUAGUCUUUGUCGUUUAAUUCUUUUAUAUUCGUUUUUUUUAUUGAUGUUAGCUUGGAUGUGGGCGCGUGUGACUGAAUUCAACUUAUAUUUGUUUUUGUUAUUAAUUUUAUUUGUUUUUGUUAAAUUGGACCACCAAAAAGGGUGGUCCAUUAUCAAAUCAACACCGUUUAAUUAUUAUUAUUUCUACACUUUUUUUUAUGAACAAAUAUAAAAUAAAAGGACAUUUACACCCAAAUUUUAGUGAAAUAGUCAUCAACACCCUUAAAUUUUUAAAAAGAGACAUCAAGAUCAUUUUUUGAUCUUAAUACUCUUAUACAGUACCUCUAUUAUUCCUAAAAAUUGACUCUAAUGUUUUAUAAUAAAUAAAAAUAAAAGAUUAAAAUAAAUGUAAUAACAUAUACAUUUUAAAACCAUUUCAAUAUUUAAAAAAUAUUUUUAACAUUUUACAAUCUAUUAAAUAUAUUUUAUUAUAUUAAAGUAAAUUUUAUAAUAAAUAGAAUCAUAUUAUUAAAAUAAAUGCAUUAAAAUUUAAAUUAUUUUGAAUAUCAUGUAAGAUAAUAAUUUUAACAUUACUAGUAUGUCAGAUUUUUUUUUUAAUUGUAGAGUGUAUUUAGUGCAAAUAUUUAUUUCAAAUAUCUACAAUAAAUAAAAGAUUAAAGUAAAUAUAAUAAUUUACAUAUCUAAAUUUAUUAAAAUAUUUUAAUAUUGUUAGUCUACUGCAUAGAUCACAAUAUUCAUAUAACAUUUGUAUUUAUUAAAAACUUUAAAAUCAAUUCUUUUGAGAAUAAUAGAGGUAAAGGGUAUAAUGGUCAAAAGGGAAAUUUUGUAUCCCUUUCUGAAAACUUGAGGAUGUUGGUGACUAUUUCUCCAAAUCUUCAGCGUGUAGAUGUCCUUUUCUCCGACAGUAUCUGAACUUUGAAGUAAUAAGGAUCACCUUUUACGAAAUUAUAUUGCUUUUCAUGAUAGACUGUUACCAUUUUUCUACAAUAGAUUGAAUUUAGUAAAAAAUUGAUUAAGAUGUCUACUCAUGGAGAGUGAAAUUUAUGUUCAAAACUAAUUUCAACAGGCAUGCACCAUCGAACGUGUUUCUCACGGAAAAGUUGCUUGGAUUUUUGGGACUUCCUGUUCAAAUAUUCAACACGGCAUGCACCACGCGAUUGAACAUGCAAAAGUAGGGGUCUAUUUUCAUUUCCAGCAUUAUAGAAAUCUUAAUUUUGUUCAUUAUUUAUUUUGAUCAGCACUGUUGAAUCUCCAUGCAUUGCCAAUCACUAGGAAACAACAUAUUUUUAUUAAUUAUAUCCUCUAAUGGAGAGAACUCAUUGUCUCAGUAAGAUCACUGUGUCAUUAACCCACAGCCUGCUGAUUUGCUUGGUUGCUACUGCAAGCAAAAAUAUUACCACAGAUCAAAAAGCUCUUCUUGCCCCAAAAGAUCACAUAACUUAUGCUCCAACUAAUCUAUUGACCCAGAAUUGGACCUCAAAUACCUCUGUUUGUACGGGGAUUAGCAUCACUUGUGAUGUCAAUGGCCAUGAAGUUGCAGCCUUGGAUAUUUCUCAAUUCAAUCUACAAGGCACCAUUAUUCCAAACACAACUGGUAAUUUAAGAAACCUUAAGUGGCUCGGCUUGGCUUAUAAACUACUUGACAUCUUAAACUUCAAAAUUGAGCUUUCUUUCCUCUUUGGCAAAUUGCAAAAAAUUAAGAAUCUUAGGCUUACUGGAAAUCCACUUGACCGUAUCCUCUCAGGUUCAAUAGGUAAUCUUUCUAUGUCUUAGGAAAUAUUUCACAUCGCCAAUUGCAGCAUUAGUGGCAGAAUUCCUUAAGUAAUCAGCAAUUUAAGCAACUUGUUGGCUAGUGUGCAAAAUUUUAAUGUACUCGCAAGCGCAUGAACCUAAAAAUAGAAUAGUGGUAACGAGGUCAAACUCACAGGGAUUGUUAUAAAAUGACAAAAGAAUAGCUGCUGGUCUAGAGGUGGCUUAUUACAUUCAUACAAGAUCGUUUCUUGUUCUCUAAGAUGUGCAUUAUGCUAAUAAUGCUAUACAAACUUAUCCAAAGGUCUAUUGAUUAAUUCAUUAAUCCAACUGCUGGUUAGGUUGUCCUUUCAUCCAAACAGCUGCAUGCUUGUCUUCUUAUAUGCUGAUCUUAUCCUCUAGAUCUGUUCAGGCUGAGUGAUCUCUCACAUUUGCCAUAUCAGAAGAUUACAUGCCAGUAAUGUCUUGUGAUGAUCUGUUGCUUGGUGAUGUCGAAUGCCUGGCCUUUACUUCUCUGAGCAAAUUGAUCAAACAAUUUGUUCAUUUUAUCGAUGGUUUUUAAGUGCAUUUAAUGAUUAUUUUUGCUCCAACUUCAGAUAAACCAAACGCUAGUAUAUUAGAUGAAGAAGUUAACUGGCAGCUAACCAGGUCAAAAUAGCGACUCUAUAUAAAAAAUAUAUAUAUAUAAUAUAAAAUAUAAAAUGGGAAUUUAUUUAAUUAAUUGUUGGUCUAAAGCUGUUGGUAUCCGUUGGCCACGUUUCUGAAGAGUCAUCUCAAAUCGAAAUUUUUAACGAACAAAGAACUUUGCUUUUUUCCAUUGUUCACAUAUCUGCUGGCUGCCACCCGUGAGAUAAAAGUGCUACAAUCCAAAAUGUUCCACCAUUAUUUAUUCUAAUUUUAAUUUUCCAAUGGAAAAAAUUACAUAAUUAAAAUGGCUUCUAAUAUCAUUUCCACCCCUCAAUAUGUGUCACUAUCAGAAGGUUGUUUUCAUGAUUCAUGGUAAAUUUGGAUUACAGCACCUGUACUUUCUGAUGGUUCAUUAUUUAUUCUCAGGAAUCGAGUCUCCUUACAUUACCAAACUAAUAACAAACAGCAAUAUUUUAUCCUUUCAUGGAGAGAAAUUACAGUCUUCGUUUGACCGCAGUGCUAUUAACCCACUGCUUGCUUCUUCAGUUGGUUGUUGCAGCAGCAGCAGCAAGCAACAUUACAACAGACCAACAAGCUCUUCUUGCCCUGGAAGCUUAUAUAAGUUAUCAUCCAACUAAUUUUUUGGCUCAAAAUUGGACCUCAAAUACCUCUGUUUGUAACUGGGUAGGCAUUACUUGUGAUGUCAAUAGCCAUAGAGUUACGGCCUUGAAUAUUUCCAGCUUGAAUCUACAGGGUACCAUCCCCCCUCAACUUGGAAACCGAUCUUCACUGACAACACUUAAUCUUAGUCAAAACAAGCUUUAAGGCGACAUUCCCCCCCUUCAUCUUCACCGUGCAUGAGCUGAAAUUUCUUGAUUUCAGUGAUAAUCAGCUCUCUGGUUCUUUGUCUUCCUUUACCUUCAAUUUGUCUUCAAUAUUAGAUAUUCGUUUGGAUAGUAACAAACUCUCUGGUGAACUCCCAUUAAAUAUUUGCAAUUAUCUUCACUAUUUAAAAGUCCUUUUUUUGGCCGAAAACAUGUUUCACGGUCAAAUACCACUGGCUUUAUCCAAGUUCAAACAGCUACAACUGUUAAAUUUGGGGUUCAAUAAAUUAUCAGGAGCCAUACCGAAAGAAAUCAGCAACUUGACUAUACUUCGAAAGAUAUCUCUCAGAAAUAAUAAACUUCGCGGUAUAAAUGUUUAUAAUAUAUACUUUGUAAAUGCUCUUAUUAAUCAUUCUUGAACUUUCUUAGAUACUUUUGUCUAAAUAAGAUUUUGUAAAAGAGUUUUUUGCAUCUCUGUUAAUUUUGCAGGCGAGAUACCUCACGAAAUUGGGUAUCUUCCAAAUCUAGAGAAUUUGGUGCUUGGAUUCAACAACCUAGUAGGUGUUGUACCUGCUGCAAUCUUCAACAUGUCAACAGUGAAAGAAAUUUACCUAUUAGAUAACUCUCUCUUGGGAAGUUUUUCAUUAGGAAUAGACCUUUCACUUCCUAACGUUGAGAGACUGAACCUGGGGCUGAACAGAUUUUCUGGAACCAUUCCUAGUUUCAUCACCAACGCAUCUAAACUUGUAUAUCUAGAUAUGGGAACAAACUCUUUUUCGGGCAUUAUUCCGAACACAAUUGGUAAUAAUCUAAGAAACCUUGAGUGGCUCGACUUAACAUACAAUCGCUUGACAUCAUUAACUCUAGAAUUGAGCUUUCUUUCCUCUUUGACAAAUUGCAAGAAAUUAAGAUUCUUAGGCUUAACAGGCAAUCCACUUGACGGUGUCCUUCCAACUUCAAUAGGUAAUCUUUCUAUGUCUUUGGAAAACAUUUACAUCUCAAAUUGUAGUAUUGGUGGCAGCAUUCCUCAACUAAUCACCAAUUUAAGCAAUUUGUUGCUCUUAGAUUUAGAAGGCAAUAAGUUGACUGGAUCAAUUCCAGUCACAUUCGGCCGGUUGCAGAAACUCUAGGGUUUAUAUCUUCCAUUUAACAAGUUAGCAGGAUCAAUCCCAGACCAGCUUUGCCAUUUAGCUAGACUGAAUACAUUAGGUUUGGCUGGUAAUAAGUUUUCUGGAUCAAUCCCUUCAUGUUUAGGUAAUCUCACUUCUCUAAGGUCUCCCGACUUAGGGUCCAAUAGGCUUACAUCAGUCUUGCCCUCAACUUUUUGGAAUCUAAAAGACAUCUUGUUCUUUGACCUUUCAUCAAAUUCUUUGGAUGGUCCUCUUUCUUUAGACAUAGGAAAUUUAAGGGUUGUGAUAUCAAUAAAUUUAUCACGAAAUAACUUUUCAGGUGAUAUCCCAAGUACAAUUGGAGAUCUAAAAGACUUACAGAAUAUCUCCUUAGCAUGUAAUGGAUUGGAAGGUCUAAUUCCUGAAUCAUUUGGUUACUUGACAGGUUUGGAAAUUUUAGAUUUGUGAAAUAACAAAAUCUUUGGGUUUAUUCCGAUAUCUUUUGAAAAACUCUUGUACCUCAAAGAGCUAAAUUUGUCUUUCAACGAACUAGAAGGAGAGAUUCCUAGGGGAGGACCUUUUGCAAAUUUCACAGCUAAGUCAUUCAUGGGAAAUGAGAAAUUGUGUGGUUUACCAAAUCUCCAAUUCCCAAAAUGCAAGCGUCGGACACGUCGAAAAUCAAAGAAAAAGAUGCUUCUACUUGUGAUUGUCUUGCCAUUGAGUACUACUCUAAUAAUCGUAGUCCCUCUAGCUCUAAAAUAUAAAUCGAUAAGAGGUGGAAAGAGUAGUACUAGGUUGUUAAAUGAUGGUAUCUUGUCAUCACAAGAAACACUAAGAAGAUUUUCAUACCAAGAUCUUUUUCGUGCAACAGAAAAAUUUAGUAAAGACAAUCUAAUUGGCGUAGGAAGUUUUGGUUCUAUUUAUCGAGGAAGACUUCAUGAUGGAAUUGAGGUUGCAAUAAAAGUGUUUCACCAGAAUUGUGCAAUGGCAUUGAAGAGUUUUGAGGCUGAAUGUGAAGUGAUGAAAAAUAUGUUGGGAAAAUAUGCUCUUUAAAAGCAUAUGUGUUUAUUUAAUUGUAAUAAACAUUUUUUCUGAUUAAUAAAAGUAAUGAGGUAUUUUAUCCAAAUAUCUUAAUUGCAUUAAUAUUUUUAUUAAAGUCCAUUUAAUCAUAUUAUAUGUAUUUAUGUGAUCACCAUGUGGAUUCACAGAAGACAUAAAUACAAGUUAUCUUAUGAUUAAAUAAAUUUAGUUCGCAGUUGAUAAAUAAAGUUGGGCACUUUAUUUAGGUAUAGACUGUAAUGAAUUCAUUGAAUGAUUUGUCUUAAUCAUGUAUGAAUUUAUUGAUGUAGUACGACUACAUUGAACAGGAUCACAUAUGAGAUUUAAUUAACUUUGUAAUAACUGUCAGACUUAUUAAAUCUCAUAGGCAUUGAUUUUACUGUAAUCUUAAUCUUGAGUUAAUUAUGAUUUCAUGAUUGUAAUUGUUAUUCCAUUUGAGUUACCAAUAGGCAUGACACAUACUUGUAGUCUAGAUAACCUGGUAUCUUGGUGGGAGCAUUUAUGAGUAUUAGAGUUAUAGAUUAACAAUAUAGAAUUUGUAUAACACAUCUCUUGAUGGGUUUUCGGCACUUGAUCAUAGAAUUCUCUGGCCAGAGUGUGUCAACAUAUUUAGUAUGUUGAAAAUGAUCAUUAGAGAAAACCAGUAAGUAUCAAGAAACAAGAUGUAAUUAAAUUGAUUGGACAGUUGAGAUAUCGAUUUAAUUAAUGAAGUGGUACAAAGGAUUGUGCAGUAAAGAAAUCAAUAUGGCUUGGGACGAAUUAUUAUUCGAGCAUACAAUUCUGGAAGUCAGUUCCAAUCUUUUAGUGGAGUAGAUUUGGAAUUAAAUAAUUGGGCUAGUUUAAUUACAAGCCUAAUUAUUGUAGCCACUAUUGUAUGUUCCCAAAUGAUCCCCGGGUUAGCUCAUUUAAUUGACUGCACCACUACUGGACUAAUAAGUAAGAUAACUAGCUAUUUGGGUCAAAAAGCCUAAAUAUAUCAUUUAGCGGGAGGCUCCAUUUAAUUAGCUUUUGUAUAAGGGGCCUUAUGUUAUUUUACAAGGUGGGUCCCCUAUAGAAAAAACAAAUAACGUGAGUUUUGUUUUUUGAUUAUUUGGAGCCUAGGGUUUUCACUAAAGGGUGAUAUAAAAGGCUUAUUUUCUCUAAAGAAAAAAAAGCAGCCACUUUAUACAGAUCAGGAGAAUAAGAUUUUUCUCUCUAUUGUUGAGAGAAAAAUUUUCUCGUGCUAGUUGCUUUGGUAGUGAUAAAGGCGCCCACACGUCAAGUGCAGAUUGAACUUGAGUCAUAACCUGGAAGAUCAUUGAUGACAGUUCGUGAUCUAACAAGCGUGGUGGUGACGGAUCGUGAUCUAACAUGAGUGGUGGUGGCGGAUCGUGAUCUAGGAGUCUAAAUCACUUCAACGGAAAAAGCCAAAUCGGAUUUUCAAGGUACGAUUUCUAGAUUACAAAUUCUUAUAUAUUAUAUGAGAGCGAUCUUCAAAAGGUUUUAUAAAAAAUUUAAAAACCUAAUUUUUCCCCAACAAAAUAUUCGUCAUCGAAAUCUUGUCAAAAGAAUCAGUUGUUGUUCGAACGAAGAUUUCAAAGCAUUAGUUUUAUAAUAUAUGCCCAAUAGAAGCUUGGAGGAUUGCCUGCAUUCUACCAAUUGUUCGUUAAAUAUUUUUGACAAGUUGAACAUAAUGAUAGAUGUUGCAUCGACUUUGGAAUAUCUCCACUUCAAUCAUUCAACUCCUGUCAUUCAUUGUGACUUAAAGCCCAAAAAUGUAUUGUUAGAUAAAAACAUGGUUGCUCAUUUCAGUGAUUUUGGAAUUGGAAGGCUCUUAACUGGAGAUCGAUCAAUGAUACAAACAGAAACACUUGUCACAAUUGGUUAUAUGGCACCAGGUUUGCUCUGAAAUAAUUUUUGUUUUUUGGGUUUUCAUUCAGACUUUCCAAAUUAUUAUUUUUCCAUGAUCCUUCUAUCCUAAUGUUAUUGAUUAUUUAUCUAAUGAUAAAAUCAAUUUGGUUGAUAGAAUAUGGCAUAGAAGGAUGAGUAUCUACAAGAAGUGAUGUUUAUAGUUAUGGAAUUAUGUUAAUAGAAACAUUUACUAGGAAGAAACCCACAGAUGAAAUGUUUACUACAGAAUUGGGCUUAAAACUUUGGGUUAACAACUUACUACCUACUUCAUUGAUGGAAGUUGUGGACAAAACUCUUUUAAGUAGGGAAGAAGAAGAUUUUGCUGCGAUGGAGCAACGUGUGUUAUCAAUCUUGAGUUUAGCCAUGGAGUACGUGAUGGAAAUGCCAGAAAAAAGGAUCGAUCCAAUAGAUAUUGUAACUAAACUAUUGAAAAUAAGAGACACAUUGAGUAAAAGGUUAGCAAAUUUAGGUUAACCUUAUUUCUUGGCAUUGAUACUUGAAUCAAUAUGUACUUAAUUUGAAUCAAUGUAUGAGUGUAAGAAUAUGAUAUAUUUUCUUUUAAUUUUUUUUCCUGAGAGAAAUGUCAUAGCUGCCUUGUUUCAAAUUAAUUUUAUACUUUUUUUUUCUUUUUCUAAGAUCAUGCCAAUGAGUUGUAGGAAGAUCAGCUACAAAUUCAAAGCCGGCUAAGGCAUUUGAAGAUGGAGAGAUUGUUAGUUUUUUUCCCAUUAAAAUUAACAUAUAUCACUUAUCCCAACUAUUUUCAUAAUACCUAAUAAGCUCUUGGCACCAUAACUUUACCAUAUAACCCUUAUUUUGAAAUACACUUUUAUUCAUAUUAAUAUUAAUUAAAUAAAUCAUAUGAGUUGAAAUUAAAAUUAAAAAAAUUAAAUACCAAAAAUAAGAAAUAUACGUUUUAGUGUGCUAAAAAAAUUAAUAUUAAAAUAUUUUUCCUGUACUUUUUAUUAUUUUGUGAAUAUUUUUCUUAUAAUAUAUAUAUAUAUAUAUAUUAUUCUCAAAAUAAUGUAUCAAGCAAAUGACUUUUUUCUCUUCUUUUUCUUUAACUUUUUUUGUGCUAGUAGAGUUUUUAGAUAUUAUAAAAACAAUAAAAGAAUAAGUGAUAUAUAUUAAUUUCAGUUGGAAAUAACCGACAAUCCCCCUUUAAUUACGUGUCACACCCAACUUUUUUGCCAAUGUUGACAUUUGCCUAUAUCAGGUUUUUGAUGUGUACAGUGCAGGUUCAACUUAAGCCAUAAAUAAAACAACUUGAGAGAGCAAAAGAAUUGCAAGUUCUUGAUUUCAAAUCUCCAAGCAUAGGAAGCCAAAGCAUCUGCUUCUUUUGGGCAUGCUGCAAAUGAUGGUUCUAGUUCGAAUGUGACCUUUCAGUCAUCUCAAGGGCUAUUCAUUGGGGACAUCGACGUAACUUUACCCCACCUAGAGGUUUGAUAAUUGAUGGGUGUCGAAGCCAACAAAAAUAAAUUCUUAUUCUAAAUAAAUUGUGUAUAGUGAUUGAGCAGGGUUGUGUCCACAGAGAUCGGUAAUUAAUUAAAUCCUUUUGAAACAUAAAACGUAAAAUGGGGGAAUUGUUGACAAUAAUAAAAAUCAAAUUAAAAUAACAAGAAUGCAAAUUAAAGUUGUAACUCAAAUUGGAGAAAGCUCUGGUUGAAGGAAUUAACUCAGCUUGAUUCGACUACUGAUCAUUGAUUCAAAUAUAGAUUAUUAUUACUCAUGAAUAGACCGGUUAUAGCUACUGAGACCCUCUAAUAGCCAAUCUCUCCUUAACUAGUCGAUAACCAAGGUACGACCGUUGGUUAUUUCCCUAAUCAAUAGACAACCCUAGAUACGAUCAUAGGAUUUAAUCAAUUGACAGCCUGAAAAACCAGAGAGACCUAAAUCCUAAUCAACACAUAUGAUGAUUCAUUUAAAUUAGAUUAUUUAUUCUCACAACACAACUCUCUGCUAUGUUAUUUGUCACAAGCAUUAAAUUCUUCAUACGAUGAAUCCUUUAAUUGACAAUAGAUUAAGUUGAUAAUUAAAUAGUGGCCAAUUACCUAAUUAAUAAACAUAAUCAUGAAACUAAUUCAGAGAAUAAACAAAUACCCAAAAAGCAAUAAAACAAUUAAAGCACAAGAAAGAUCUCACAGUAGUGAUGAAUCAAAGCUUCAUUAUCCUUCAACCAGAAAAAUAGGUUUAGUUCUUCAUAGAGAGAAGAGAAAAAUUAAGAUCUAGGGUUUCUUUCUUUCUCCAAUCCCCAAAAUCCCCCCUUUUCACAAUAGAUUCCUCCCUUAAAUACUCUCUCUCUCUUCUCUUUUAGAAUUCUAUUUAAAAUAAAAUCCUAAUAUCUAAAAUAUUAAAUUCGUAAUUACAAAAAUAGCCAAAAAUAUAAAACACGUUAAACUAAAAACUGCAGGUUCGCAGUUGACAGCACGCGCCCACGCCUUAUCAACAAAGUUCUUCUGCCGCUCAUAAUUUCUCCAAGGGAACAAUCAUCCCUAAACAUCAUCUUGUAGCUCAAUUUUAUCACCAAUCAAUAGAAUUGCACCUACAAAAGUAAAUCACAAGUAAAUCACUAUUAUUAAGUGCAAAACAUCGAUAUUAAAGGAAGUAAACAAUGCAAAACUAGUGUAUAAAUUGCACUCUAACAAAUUCCCCCACACCAAGAUGAUGCUUGUCCUCAAGCAUAUAACUCAAGAUUAAUCCCAAAUCUCCACUCAAUUCUCAUCUCAACUCAUCCAAAAACAAUUUUAAGCAAGCAUACCUCAAGAAAUUAAGUCGAUCAACAUUUGAGAGAUAAGGAUUUUAAAGCAUAGAAUUUCAUAAGAUAGAAUAAGAACAUUCAACCACCAAGAAGAUCCAUUCAAAAUUCAAGUGCAGCAAGAUUUAAUAGCCCUCUCAAUAACUUCACUCCAUGCACUCAAAGUGUUUAGGGUGUCAUUUAUCCACUCAAAUCAAAUCAAAGAAUGUCAUUACCAUAAGCUUGCUCAUAUAUCACAUCUCAAUCCACAAAACAUGAAUAAAAUGCAAAAAUCUAAGGGUCUUAAAAGGGUUGUAAUGGGGUAAAAUGGGUGAAAUGAAAAAGAAAGGUUUAUGAAAGAAAAAGAGAUCAAAAUGAGAAGAAUGAACUCAUUGAAUGAACUUAUGAUAUCAAAAUGCUUAUUUCUACUCAAGUCACCAAGAAUGUAAACAUUUUUUUUUUCGAUUUUUUUUCUUCGAUUUUCUUUUUCUUUUUUUUCUUUUUCCUUUUCUUUUUCUUUCUUUUUUCAUUUUUUUCAUUUUUUUUUUGUUUUUUUUUUCGAAUCAAACAAAAGAAACGAACCUUGCACAAUUUAAUUCAAGCAUAAUGCUUGUUGAUCUAAUUGAGAAACUUCAAUAUAAGGUAGAAAAAGCAACAAAAUAUAUCCAUAUAAUGAGUCCAAAAAUCUCCUUAAAUUGAGGCUCAAAAAAAGAAGAAAAAUGGUUAAGUAGACGGAGAGAAUUAGAUGGGUAAUGGUUAAGGCUCAAACAAAGGUAGCAAAUAAAGGUCUUCGGGUAGAGAAAAAGGAAAAUGCGAGAAUAGAAAAAUGGUAAAUGGUUUGCCCUUAUCAUUUUAAUGCAUAAAAUCCCGUAAUGUGGCUUCAACAUGCAUAACAAAGCAAGUUCUAGAAUAAACAAACUAGGAUUGAUAUUCACAUAACAAAAAAAAAAAUAAUUAGAGCAAAGUGGUUGCUCAUAGGCUCAAAUCCUCACAAAAUUGGUAAAUUUGCCAUCAAAUCAUGUACACUCUUCAAAUGAAUCAACCAUCAAUAGUGGUGUAGAAUGAGAAGAAGGUAUGAGUGAGAUAUAAAAGGAAAGGUAAAAAGGAUAAUAAGCGAGAAAGAUGUAUGUAGUAAUAUGAAAAGUGAAAGAUAAAAUGUGAGUGAUGAAAGAGUAUGGUAAAAUAAAAAUAGACAUGAAUAAUUUGAGAUAGAUGGGAAAAAAGUAGUGAGAAGGAAAAGAAAAGAAAAAUAAUAAUAUAUGAAGCAUACUAACUCCAAAAUCAUUUAAGGAUGAGUAGAGUGAAAAUAGAUUAGUAGAGUGAAAACAAUAAUUCCAGACAUCAAUAAUGCAAAAAUCCCUCCCCCAUACCAAGAACUUACAUUGUCCCUAAUGUAAGAUAAUCAAAGCUCACAUAAAAGUUAAAGCGUAACGAUAAAAGAUUAAGGGCAAAAAGAAACUUUCCUGAAUUGUGAGCUUUGAUCCACAUAACGUCUAUGGGCUUGGCGGAAAUGGUGGGGUAAAUCCCACACUCUCGAAGUAUGCGGCCAAAUUCUGCUCCAUCUUGUUCAGCUUGUGCUCUAUUUUCUCUAACUGAAUGCUCAAAGGUGGUGCAGAUGUAGAAUGAAUAGUUGGCGGGGCAGCAAUGUCGUCGUCAAACUCAUCAUCAGAGGUAGCACCACUCCUAGCAUAAAGCUUCUUCGGAAGUUGAGUGGGUCCUGGUUCAGUAAACUGAAAUCUUCCCUCCUUGAAUUCAACCACACCUGUUCUUUCAAACACAGACAUAUCCAAAAAUUCCUCUCUUUCUCUUGUUGAGUCGCGAACGCGAGGCACCCUCCGAGAUUGGAUUCCGCAAGUGGCAAAACACUCAUGCCUUUUCCAUGCUUCGAUCUUUGUCUCACGGCUUUCAAUUUACCCGGCUGGAAUACAGGGCGUAGGCUGGUUGCGUUGCGUUGCUGCUCGGUUUGGGGCUAGUUACGCACUGCUGCUGCGUGGCUGUGUUGCGCGCAAGAGCUGGUUCGCGCUGCUGGUCUGCUGCUGCUCGGCUAUGUUGCACGCGCGGGACUGAUGCGCUGCGGGAUGGUGCUGGCUGGAUUGAUUUAGGCUGCGCGCGCGGGCUGGAGCUGAGAAUCUGCGUUGCUGGGGCUUGCGUUGCGGGUCUGUUGCGUGCUGCUCGUCUGCGUUGCGCGUGCGGAAUGGUGGUCGAUGCUGGUGCUGCGCGCGCGGGGCUUGCUUUGCGCGCUGUUGGGCUGCGAGAUGCAGGAUAGUGCUCGAUGCUUGCUAGUUCAGGCGGGCUGGUUUGCGUUGCAGGUGGGACUGAUGCGGUUGCAGCUGGUUCUGCGCGCUGGAGCUAAGGGUUGCUGCGGGAAAACGAAAAUCAACAAUGAAUUUUUUUGAAUUAGGGAUUUGUGAACAGUGAUUUUUGAUUUUUGGUUUUUUUUUUCGUUUUUUUAAAUAAAUAAAUAAAUAAAUAUAUAUAUAUAUAAGAAAGAAAAGAAGGGAAAAAAAACUUUUUUUUUCAUUUUUUUUAUAAAUAAAUAAAAAAUAUAUAUAAGAAAGAAAAUAAGGAGAAAAAAAGAAAACUCCUUUUUUUUCUUUUUUUUUUCUUUUUUUUAGUGAUGAAUCACUUUGAGACACUAAAAAUUUCAGAAGUACUUUUCUAAUAAGCACGUGGGCACGCCUUAAAACUAUUUUACUUUAAAAAUUACAGAAGUACUUAUUAGUUAAGACGUGGGCACGCCUUAUCAAAAAUUUUCUUCUGAUCAAAAUAAACAAACACAUUAUUAUAAAAAAAAAUCUGAAUCAAAAUUAAAAGAAGAUAUAACAAAAACCAAAAUAAACAAAUCAUUUGGGUUGCCUCCCAAAGAGCGCCUUUAUUUUAUGUCUUUGGCUAGACACAUUUAUGCAUCAAUCUCCAUAAUUGGGACUCUCGAGAGCCACAUCCUCCACAAUAUUCACCGAAAAACCUUCAUAAAAAGGUUUUAAGUGAUGACCGUUAACCUUAAAAACUUUGUCAGAGGUCGAACUCCGAAUCUCAACAGCACCAUGAGGAAAAACAUUAGUAACAAUAAAAGGUCCAACCCAGCAAGAUCGUAAUUUACUUGGAAAAAGUUUAAGCUUAGAAUGAAAAAGAAGAACUUUUUGACCAACAGAGAACUCCUUUCUCAAAAUCAUUCUAUCAUGAAAUGUUGUUAGAGUGCAAUUUAUGCACUAGUUUUGCAUUGUUUACUUCCCUUAAUAUCGAUGUUUUGCACUUAAUAAUAGUGAUUUACUUGUGAUUUACUUUUGUAGGUGCAAUUCUAUUGAUUGGUGAUAAAAUUCAUCCCUAAACAUCAUCUUGUAGCUCAAUUUUAUCACCAAUCAAUAGAAUUGCACCUACAAAAGUAAAUCACAAGUAAAUCACUAUUAUUAAGUGCAAAACAUCGAUAUUAAGGGAAGUAAACAAUGCAAAACUAGUGCAUAAAUUGCACUCUAACAAUAAUCCAACUUUCUCAAUGGAUUUGUCUAAUACAUUCAAUUUAUUUUUAUUCUGUACAUGUUUGGUUAAUUAUCUUGGUCUGUUAAGUUUAAGUCCAGUUGCAAGUCCCAUUUGGUUACGCAUUGUGUUCGUGUUGCUACUCAAUCCUUCAUAAAAUAGUUUAAGGUUUGGAAGUUAACUACUUUUAUUGAUUUCGUAUGACUUUUUGCUAGUUUAUCACUCACGGCAUAUAAUUAAUCAAUUCUUCCAGGCGUACCAUGACAUCUAGGACCAUAAGCAUUUGUGUGUUAAUGUAUUAAACUGAUCACUUAGAUCAAAUUUCAAUUUGGACUUGAAUUGCAGUUUUAGUGUCCUAUAUGAUUGGUCUUUCUCAAUUUUACCAAACAUAUGUUCGUUCUGAAAAUAUUAAAGUGGAUUUGAUAGUUUAAACAAUUUGAGGUUGGAUUUUGGCAGUUUGAAGUUGUAUAUUCUGGUACCAAUCAAGACAAGGAAGUGGAUGCCGAGUUUGAAACAACGAGUAGACAUCUGAAAGUCACGCCACAUUGGAUGAUCACACAAAAAUUGGACCUUACAGAGGAACAACACGGACAAAUUAAGCAGGAGCUGGAAAUGUAUAAAAUUUGAGCAGCUGUAGGAUCCAUAAAUGCAAAGAAUCAACCGGAUUAUUCGAACGAACGUACCUCUAAUGGUCUUUUUGGAAUGUCAACCAGUCAUGAAGUCCAAACGCGAAGUGGACGAGGAGGAGGCUGAUACUAAUUCUAGAAACUUCAAGAGCUUUCACUCCCAUGCCUUUUGAAUGUCUUUCUUGCUUCAGAAUUCAAAUGCAAGCUUUCCCUCUCAGUAUUUCUUCGUUGAGACAUUUUCUCGAACAGUUUUAUACUUAUGUCAAACAUCUUCUGAUAUAACUAGGAAGCCAGUAAGAUUGUUUUUCAAGUACGCUAAGCGGAAACAGUAGGCAAGGCCUUUGUCAUUAUAUCUGCCACUUGAUUUUUUCUGCCCACAUUCUUCUUAUUCAAUUCGUUUGUUCCAAUUUUGUCCCUAAUGAAGUGGUCUUAUAUCUCUAUACACUUUGCUCUUCCAUGAAAGACUAGAUUCUCUGCAAGUGCUAUUGCACUCUUGUUGUCACAUCACAACAGAGGAAUAAUUAAACAUACAAGGAUCUUAACCAGCUGAUCAUUUCUGCCGCUACAUGAGACAGGGCUCUGUAUUAUACUUUUGUACUUGAUUUUGAGACCACCUUUUGAUUCUUGGAGCUACAUGAGAUCAGAUUUCUUGCGGGGUAAAAAUAUUCAUGAAAACCCUCAAGUAUUUAUGACAUUUAAAUAAAAAUAGAGUUUGAUUUUUCUUUCAAGUAUGUUCCUACAUUAAUAUCUACUUAAAAACUGACAAUAUCAUUUAAAAAAAAUUAUUCUUCCACCUUUAAAAUUCAAUAUUAAAGAGUAAUUUGUCAUUUUUAAUUAGAGUUAGAGGCUUGUUUUAUUAUAUAUAUAAAAUCAUUCUCAGAUGCAAUAGUCCUCAUUUUUUUGUGCAGAUACACUAUUAAACCACGCAGUUCAAAAGUUAAUUAAAAUGAAUGGUUUAACAGUGUGUUUAUAUAAAAAAAAAUAAUAAUAAGGGCCUCGACAUUAGAGAUUAUAUAUAUUAUUCUAAUUAGGGAUCCCUAACCAUAUUAAAGUCAGGGGACAAGUUAAAAAAUAAAAAAUAAAAAUUUCAAUGUAUUUUGUCAUAUAAUGUAUUGAAAUCUGUAUUUUCUUUUGUCUUUUAUGCUGUGUUUACUUUUUGGAUUGGAGUGGGAAUCUUGAGAAGUGGAAAUCCUUGGAUUAGGAGUGUGGAGUGGGAGUGGGAGUAGGGUGUUUACUUAGACUAAAUGAAAGUAUGGAUUGUCAAUCAGAAUCCCAAUUAUUUGUUUACUUUGUCUUGGAUUGACAGUAAAUUGUUUUAAAUUAUAAUUUUAUCCUUAUGUAUAGAAUUAUAAUUUGUAAUUAAAAAAUUAAUAAAAAAUAUAUUUGGAAAAUAAAAUAAAUAUUUUAUUAUAUUUAUAAAUUAAUAAUAAUUACUAAUAUUCUUAAUUAUGUAAAUCAUAAUUUUUUAUUAAUUUUAAUUUAAAUUAUGUGAAUAAAAAUUAUUAAUAAUAGCAACACAAAUGAAAUAUUAUUAUUGAUAAUAUAGUACAAAAUUAAUAUUUUUUUAGAAUAAAAUAUUUAUUAUUAUUAAAUAAAUAAUUAAUAUUUAUUAAAAUUAAUUUUUAAUAUUAUUAAUUUAAAUAUAAUAUUUAUUUAUUUUUAUUUUAUUAAAUUUAAUAAAAUAAAUAUGAUAUAAUUAUUAUUUUUAAUAAAUAUUAUUUAUUUAUUUUAUUAAAUAUUAUUUAUUUUAUUUAUAAGGAUAAAAUGGGAAGAGGGGGGAGGGGAUUCCCACUCUCACCUCCCCCCAUGGGAGUGGGAAUCCCACUUCCCACUCCAAAAUUGGGUGGGACUCACAGAUUCCCACUCCCACUCCCCCCUUGUUUAAGGUAAGUAAACACUGGAGUGGGAGGAAUCCACACUCCACACUCCCACUCCAAAAAAUAAACACUGCCUUAGUUUAUCCCUAUUUUAAUAUGGUUGAAGAUUCGUAAUUAGAAACCCACUCUAAUUAUCUAUGUAUUUACUAUUUUUAAUACAUUCGCACAAAUAUUUAUAUACAAUAAAUGUAUUACUUAGCCCUGCCUGAUAAAAGAUCCCGGGUCCGGCUCUGAAGGAAGAUGCAAUAUCCUCCUGCUGACGCUUCAUUAACCUUUUUCCUUUCAUUUUAAACUUUCUGAAUUAUUGCCUUUCGUAAUUCUCAUAUCAUGCAUUGAGUAUUUAUCUAACUAUGAAAUUAAUUUGAUUAAUAGAGUAUGUUAUAGAAGGACGGGUAUCUAUUAAAAGUGAUGUUGUCGCGGAAUUGAGCUUGAAGUGUUGGAUUAAUGACUUGUUACCUAUUUCAUUGAUGGAAUUGUUGUGGACAUAAAUCUGCUAAGUGGAGAGGAAAGACAUUUUUGCUGUAAAGAAGCAAUGUGUGCUGUCUAUGGGAGCUGUAAUGAGUGGACUCUUCAACAAUGUACAAUAUUAUACAGUAUAUACAAAGACACACUAUCACACUAAAAAAUCUUGAGUUGACUCCUUAAUUUAUUUCAUCAAUCCCCACUUUUGAGUUAAUAUUAUUUAUCUUAAGAUUGUCCUUAAUGAAAAAUAAAAAUAAUUAAAAAAAUAAAUAUUUUUUCAUUCUAUCAAGUUCUUAGUAGAUUAAAUUCUUAUCUCUCACAAUUCUCUCAUCUUUUAAUUUAUUCAUAAUUUGAAUCAAAUAUUAACUCUUGAUCAAACCCCAAAUUAAAAUAAACAAAAUAUUAGAUUAUCACGUAAAAUCAAAACCAGUAUUAUCAAUAACAACAAAAAUCACCGCUUAUCCAUUAAAUUUAACAAAAACCAACAUUUAAAUUCAUCAAAUAUUGGCAGAGGUAGUGGAUUCAAGGUGAAGAAAAUAGAUGAUGGGAACGAACUCGUUGUUGAUGAAGUGGUGGGGGUGAUAAUUAUAUACGAGGGAGGGGAAGGUAGAGACAGAAUAAAAUAAUUUUUUUUUUGUUUCAAUAGAGAUAAUUCUACAAAAUAAUAAGAUUAAUUGAUAAGCGGGGUUGAUGAGAUAAUUUGAGGGGUUCAAAUAUCAUUACUCAUAUCCAUUUACAUGAAGCUAAUUAAAAAUAGUGAAGUAAUUAAAUACGCUAAUCAUACACAGCUGCCAUGUUAACUAUUAAAACAGCCUAAUGAGCUUAGCCUCAGUUUGAUCCUCUCCGUUGAUCUGCCAUUCCUAUCAUCACUACUUGCCACCUCGCAUUGUAUCAAAUCUCUUCUGUGUCCUCAUUGUACCCUCUCUUCGUAACACAUAAGCAGAAUCUAUUCUUGUACCAAAUUACCAAAUUACCACAAAACUGUUAGAGAGUCGGUGUGAUUUACUUACUGUUAAAUAAUAAAGAGAGUAAUUUUCUUUUUUUAAAUUUGAAUCUACCCGCCACUUCCAAGACAGAGAAAGCGUCGUCGUUUUAUGAUGGCUCCAUCAUCAUUUCCAUCUCCUCUCGAACGCACUGUCGCUUCAGCUCUUCUCCUGCUCUCCGUCUCCAAUCAAUCUCCCUCUCUCUCUUCCCCACUGUAAGACCUUCAUUAUUUCACUCUCAAAACUGUUUUUGUUUCUUAUUUGUUUUUCCUUAUUGAUUUGUUUGAUGUUUGUUUAAUGCAACGUGUAGGUUCGACACAGAUGGUGAAUUACUGCUGAAGAGCAAGAGCAGCAGCCGGGACGAAGAGAGCGUGAGCUUACUGUCGAGUGGAGAUUCAAAACGGUGCGUUUCGACGGUUACUAGUGAAGAUGCCUCCUCCAGUGAGAUCCGAGCUCACAAGCUGAGGAUCAUCGCUGUUGUGGCUCGCUGUCAUGAAGUGAAACUCAAGGUACAUGUUCUUCUGUUUGGUUUAAUAUAUAUGAUUAUGUAAAUGGUUUCGUAGUUCUUAGUUUGAAUUUGAUCUGAAAUUUUUUGUUUGAUAAUAAAAUGAAAUCACAUCUCUGUUUUCUACUUCGUAAACAGUCAUCUCUUCGGAAUCAAUUUUUUUGUUGUUCGUGUUGAAUUUUAUCAAAAGUGAUCAUUAAAACUUGUUUUUCUCAAAUUUAUGUUUGAUCUCUCAGUUUUUUUUUUUUUCUCGACUCUUCAAUUCAAUUUCACUGGAAAUUUACUAGAAGAUUCAAAUUCUGCUCUGUUUGGACCUGUUUCGUUUUGAAUUCUCGUAAUCAUUUGAAGGCUCAAGCUACUUAAAUUUUGUUAAAACUGUAGAACCUGAAGGGCACUUCAGUUGCUCAAACACCUUCAGCCUCUGCCCAAGAUUCAAGAUCAGAUUCCUAGAUGCUUGACUAUAGAUGACUUGAAAAAGGUUUAACCAAGAACUUCAAGUGAACAGAACAAUCAAUGGUUUAAGAAUCAAAGAAUCGAAAGAAACUAAAGAAUAAAGAACAGAAGAGAUUUAACGUGGUUCAGCUAAAACACUUAGCUUACAUCCACGGAGGAACAAGACUUCAGGCUUUUAUUGAAUGAACUCAAGAUUACAGAGAAUUACAGAUUGUAUCUCAUGGAAAAUUACCACCCUUAAACCCAGGAGUAACCCCCCUUUUAUACUCAUAAAUUGUAGCCAACUCUCUGCACCAGAAUCAGCUCCUUUUCAGUUGCUGAUAACUUCCUGGAAACUAAUCCCAGAUGCUCACGUGCAAGCCAUGCUUCAUUAACGACUUUAACCGCUUCUUUCAUUCGAAUCCAUUCACGUGAGUCUCAGGUGUUUCACUUAAGUCAAACGACAUUCCAAGACAUCGUUUCACUUAGCUUUGGUUUACACUCCGAAACGCACUCCCUCAAGUCGUUUUGAAUGUCACUGAAUUGCUUUCACUGGUUACUUUACAAAUCUCCACCUUGAAACAAUUCAUCCCUGUCAAUCUUUCUCCUCAACUUCAUGCAAGUUACAAACUGCAUAUUUCAGCUAUGUCCAAGCAGGUCUUAAACUUAGCUGAGGGUACCACCUUUGUAAGCAUAUCUGCAGGGUUGUUGCUGGUAUGUAUUUUUACCAUUUUUACAACUCCUUUUGAUAUUACAUUCCUUAUGAAAUGCAACUUAAUGUCGAUAUGCUUGGUCUUCUCAUGAUGAGCUGGAUUUUUGCUCAAGUAAAUGGCACUUGAGCUGUCACAGUGAAUAUCAACAACCUUCUGAGGUAUUCCUAACUCACUGAUUAAGCCUUUAAGCCAUAAAGCCUCCUUUACAGCUUCUGAGACUGCAGUAUACUCAGCCUCUGUAGUUGAUAAAGCCACUACAUGUUGCAAGCUUGCUUUCCAGCUUAUCAGACAUCCAUUCAACAUGAACAUGUAUCCAGUUUGUGACCUCCUUCUGUCCAGAUCUCCAGCAUAAUCAGAGUCAACAUAGCCCCAUAAACCAGCUUCAUUUAACUCUUGAUUCUUUCCAUAUAGCAACCCAAACUCCAAAGUUCCAUUUAGGUAUCUCAGCACCCAUUUAGCUGCCUUCCAAUGCUCUUUUCCAGGUGAAGCCAUAUACCUGCUUAUCAAGCUUAGAGCAUGUGAAAUAUAUGGUCUUGUGAGGACCAUUGCAUACAUCAUACACCCUACUGCAUUGGCAUAGGGUACCUUAGACAUCUCUUGCCUUUCUUCACUUGACUUUGGACACUGCUGGUUUGAGAGUUUAAAAUGAGAGGCUAGAGGUGUUAUCACUGGUUUACAGUUGCUCAUUCCAAAGGUAUUAAGUACUUUUUCCAAGUACUUCUUCUGAGACAAAAACAUAGUUCCCUUCCUUCAGUCUCUUGUUAUUUCUAUUCCCAAAAUCUUCUUGGCAUGACCCAGAUCCUUCAUAUCAAACUCAGAGUUCAGCAUCUAUUUUAAGGCUUCAACUUCUUUCCUCACUUUACAAGCAAUCAACAUAUCAUCAACAUAUAGUAGCAAGUAUAUGUGAUGAUCUGAAUCUAUUUGCUUGUAGUAUACACAACAAUCAAAAUUGCACCUCAUAAAUCCAUGUGAAAUCAUGAAUUCAUCAAACCUGAGGUACCAUUGCCUUGGGGACUGCUUUAAGCCAUACAAUGACUUCUUCAGCAAGCACACAUGGUCAGGGUAUUUAGAGCUUUCAAAACCUUCAGGUUGAGUCAUUAAAAUCUCCUCCUGUAGUCUCCCAUGUAAGAAAGCUGUUUUAACAUCAAGUUGAUCAAGCUCCAUGUCAUAUACAGCUGUUAGAGCUAACAAAACUCUUAUGGAAACAUGUCUGACCACUGGAGAGAAGACUUCCUUAAAAUCAACUCCUUCCUGCUGUGUAUAUCCCUUUGCUACUAACCUAGCUUUGAAUCUCCUAGGUUCAUCAGUUGUCGGCCCUUCUUUUACCUUGAAAAUCAAUUUGCACCCCACAAUCCUUCUUUUCUCAGGUUUCUUUACCAAUUCCCAGGUGUUGUUCUUGUACAGUGAGUCCAUUUAAUCUUCCAUAGUCCUCUGCCACUCUGAUUUAUAUGAACUCUUCAUAGCCUCUCUAUAGCUUGUUGGCUCAUUUUCCUCAAUCUCAUGUGAUGCUGCCAGUGCAUAUGCAAUGAGGUCUGCAUAACCAUAUCUUUGUGGAGGUCUUAUCUGUCUUCUCUCUCUAUCUUUGACCAGGUGAUAGUCUCUAAGUUGGGUUUGAGUGUGCUGUUGAGAUUGUGGCUCAGUGUUUCCACUACUGUCAUCUUUAUCUCCAUUAGAAUCUAUAGCUUCUUGUGAGGAUUUUAGAUUUGGAUGCUCCACCUCAAAAUGUAUACUCUCUGGAGUUUUAGUCUGAGGUUUAGUACCAUUUUCUUGUAGCUUUUUCUUGAGCACAGUCUCUUCAUUAAAGAUCACAUCCCUGCUGAUGAUGCACCUUGGUGGGGAUAGGUCUGUGCACCAUAACUUGUAACCCUUUACACCCUCUGGAUACCCGAUAAACUUCCCUUUCAGAGCUCUUGGAGAUAACUUCCCUUGCUUUACAUGUGCAUAAGCAUCACAUCCAAAAGCCUUAAGCUCUAUAUAGUUACCAGGUUUUCCAGACCACAUUUCUGAUGGUGUUUUAAAGUCAAUUGCAGCAGAUGGGCUAAGGUUCACCAAAAAACAGGCAGUCAGCAAGGUUUCUGCCCAUAGCCCUUUAGGAAGUUGGGACUGUAUCAUCAUGCAUCUGACUUUAUCCAUUAAAGUCCUGUUCAUCCUUUCAGCUAGGCCAUUUUGCUAUGGGGUUAACCUUACUAUUCUAUGUCUUGCAAUCCCUUCAUUUGCACAGAAACUGUCAAACUCUUGAUUACAAUACUCAAGGCCAUUGUCUGUUCUUAGUUUCUUAACCCUUUUCUCAGUUUGAUUUUCAACCAAUGCUUUCCACUCUUUAAAUUUCCCAAACACCUGAUCUUUACUUUUCAGCACAUACACCCACACUCUCCUAGAGUAGUCAUCUAUCAUUGUCAUAAAAUAUCUAUUUCCACCCAAAGAUGGAACCUGAGAAGGUCCCCAUAAGUCUGAAUGUAUAUAUUGCAGAAUCUCAGAUGUCUUAUGUAUAGAUUUCUUGAAGUUAUUCCUAGUGGAUUUACCUAGAAUGCAUUCUUCACAGAACACUAGCUCCCCAAUCUUAUCUUUCCCCAGAACACUCUGCUUAUUAAGUUCUUUCAGGCCUUUAAUACUCAUAUGCCCAAGUCUUAAGUGCCAUAGAGUAGUUUUAUCUAUGUCAGUGCUUUCAAUGGCAUUAGAGACCCCUGUUACAGACUCCCCAUCUAAGACAUAAACCCCAUUCUUUCUGGUCCCUUUCAUAACCAGUGCAGAUCUAUUAAGAAUCUUCAAUUCACCUGAUUCAAGCUUAAUGCUACAUCCCAUUUGAUCUAUCAUUCCUAAAGAAAUCAAAUUCCUUUUAAGUUCUGGAACAUGCCUAACUUGUCUGAUUUCUUUUACAGACCCAUCAUGUACCUUAAGAUGAAUUUUACCAAUCCCAAUGAUUUUACACACUGAAUUAUUACCCAUCAUUACUCUUCCUCCAUCAAAGUCUUGAUAAUUAGAAAAAUAACCCUUAUAUGGACUCAUAUAAAAUGUGCAACUAGAGUCAAGAAUCCACUUACCCUUUUGCAUAUCCUCAGUAGCAACACACACACCUGCUGACUCAUAGCCAUCUUCUUCUUCUUCAGCUGUAGCUGCAUUCCCAACCCUCUCCUUAUUCUUGUGCUUUAAGUCUGGGCAAUCCUUCUUGAAAUGUCCUUCCUUAUGGCAAUGGAAACAUUUCAAGUCUUUUGGCUUGGUCUUGGAUUUGGACUGCUUCUGAUUCUUUGCUGCAUUCUUAUUCUUUUCAAACUUCCCCUUUACUGUUAACCCAACUCCACUUUCUAUACUCACAGACUUUUGUUGCAACCCUCUAGUAUUUAAGGCUGCAUUUACCUCAUCCAGGGACAGUGUCUGCCUCCCAUACAUUAGGGCAUCCACAAAAUUAGAGUAUGAUUGUGGAAGUGAGCUUACCAAGAGCAGAGCUUUACUUUCAUCACUGAGGCUUUCAUCAAUUGUCUCCAGGGUGUCACACACUCUAUUGAAUUCAUCUAUAUGAUCAUCAAGAGAGGAUCCCUCUGCCAUCUUUAGAGUAAACAUCCUUUUCUUUAUAUGCAAUCUGUUGGUGUUAGAGUGCAAUUUAUGCACUAGUUUUGCAUUGUUUACUUCCCUUAAUAUCGAUGUUUUGCACUUAAUAAUAGUGAUUUACUUGUGAUUUACUUUUGUAGGAGCAAUUCUAUUGAUUGGUGAUAAAAUUGAGCUACAAGAUGAUGUUUAGGGAUGAUUGUUCCCUUGGAGAAAUUAUGAGCGGCAGAAGAACUUUGUUGAUAAGGCGUGGGCGCGUGCUGUCAGCUGCGGACCUACAUUUUUAGUUUAACGUGUUUUAUAUUUUUGGUUAUUUUUGUAAUUACGAAUUUAAUAUUUCAUAUAUUAGUAUUUUAUUUUAAAUAGAAUUCUAGAGGAGAAGAGAGAGAGAAUAUUUAACGGAGGAAUCUAUUGUGAAAAAGAGGGAUUUUUUGGGGGAUUGGAGAAAAAGAAAAAAACCCUAGAUUUAAUUUUCCUCUUCUCUCUAUGAAGAACUAAACCUAUUUUUCUGGUUGAAGGAUAAUGAAGCUUUGAUUCAUCACUACUGUGAGAUCUUUCUUGUGCUUUAAUUGUUUUAUUACUUUUUGGGUAUUUGUUUAUUCUCUGAAUUAUUUUUAUGAUUAUGUUUGUUAAUUAGGUAAUUGGCCACUAUUUAAUUAUCAACUUAAUCUAUUGUCAAUUAAAGGAUUCAUCGUAUGGAGAAUUUAAUGUUGGUGACAAAUAACAUAGCAGAGAGUUGUGUUGUGAGAAUAAACAAUCUAAUUUAAAUGAAUCAUCAUAUGUGUUGAUUAGGAUUUGGGUCUCUCUGGUUUUUCAGGCUGUCAAUUGAUUAAAUCCUAUGAUCGUAUCUAGGGUUGUCUAUUGAUUAGGGAAAUAACCAACGGUCGUACCUUGGUUAUCGACUAGUUAAGGAGAGAUUGGCUAUUAGAGGGUCUCAGUAGCUAUAACCGGUCUAUUCAUAAGUAAUAAUAAUCUAUAUUUGAAUCAAUGAUCAGUAGUCGAAUCAAGCUGAGUUAAUUCCUUCAACCAGAGCUUUCUCCAAUUUGAAUUACAACUUUAAUUUGCAUUCUUGUUAUUUUAAUUUGAUUUUAUUAUUGUCAACAAUUCCCCCAUUUUACGUUUUACGUUUCAAAAGGAUUUAAAUAAUUACCGAUCUCUGUGGACACGACCCUGCUCAAUCACUAUACACAAUUUAUUUAGAGUAUGAAUUUAUUUUUGUUGGCUUCGACACCCAUCAAAUUUUGGCGCUGUUGCCGGGGAUUGGUGUCAUUUAUUUAAUCCUUUUUACGUUUUACUUGGUGUAUGGUUCGUUCUUCUCGUACAGGUACACUUUCGUUUGAUCCUGAAAUUGAGAAGACAGCUUGCCAGCUGAGACAGCAGACUAAGCAAGCUAAGCAACGAUCCUCGUCGCCUUUGCUUUUUGAAACAGAUACGGUGCCUAAUUUAGUUGAAUCAUCUAGCGAUUCGGAAGAACAAGUGAUGGAUAGACCUGCACCUGUAGAAAGAACUCUUAGAGAGUUAGCUGAACCAGACUUGAAUCAGCAACCACUCUGCAUUCAUUAUGUAGAUUUGGAGGUAAAUUUUGAAUUAAAGUCUGGUCUUAUUCAUUUAUUACCCAAGUUUCAUGGUUUUGCAGGUGAAGAUCCUCAUAAACAUCUUAACGAGUUUCAUGUUGUGUGUUCAAGUAUGAGACCACAAGGCGUGACUGAAGAGCAUAUUAAGCUGCGUGCUUUUCCGUUCUCUGUAGAUGGGCUAGCUAAAGACUGGUUGUACUACUUGCCUCCUGGAUCGAUUACAACGUGGAAUGAUUUAAAGAAGCAGUUCCUCGAGAAGUACUUUCCUGCUUCAAGAGCUGCUAACAUCAGAAAAGACAUUUGUGGGAUCAGACAACUUCCUGGGGAGACUUUGUAUGAGUAUUGGGAGCGAUUCAAACAAUUGUGUGCCAGCUGUCCUCAGCAUCAGAUUUCUCAUCAACUUCUUAUUCAAUAUUUUUACGAAGGAUUGUCAUUGAUGGAUAGGAGUAUGAUAGAUGCUGCUAGUGGAGGCAUGUUGGUGAACAAGACCCCUAGUCAAGCAAGGGAGUUGAUAUCAAAUAUGGCUGCCAAUGCACAACAAUUUGGCAGCAGGCAAGAUCUCACUUCAAGGAAGGUGAAUGAGGUAAAUAUUUCUUCUGUUGAACAACGUUUAGAUAAACUUACUUCUCUUGUGGAAAAGUUUGUUGUAGGUAAUGUGCAACAGGUGAAGACUUGUGGCAUUUGUUACAAUAUGGAUCAUUCAACUGAUAUGUGUCCUACACUUCAAGAAGAACUCAUUGAACAAGCCAAUGCAGUUGGAGGAUUUCCAGGCAUGCCUCAGAGGAGGUAUGAUCCUUAUGCACAAACAUACAAUCUGGGAUGGAAGGAUCAUCCCAACUUCAGCUAUGGAGUUAAGCCGUCAGGAUUCCCACAACAGUAUCCACCAAGACAACCAACACCUCCACAGUCAAACUCCAAGUCAGGUAUAUCUCUUGAAGAAAUUGUUAAAUCACUUGCGACUAACACUCAACAAUUUCAGCAGGCAACUACAGCAAGCAUUCAAAACUUGGAUAACCAAAUGAGUCAAUUGGCGACUACAGUGAGCCGUCUGGAGUCUCAAGUAUGAGGGAGAUUGCCUUCACAAUCUGAGGUGAAUCCAAAGCAAAACGUUAGUGCUGUCAUCCUUAGAAGUGGGAAGGAGUUGCAAGAGCCUAGUAAGAAAGUGAAAAAGUAUGUAGAAGAUGAGUUUGAGAAGAAUGAAUUGAUGCCUCAAUCUCAAGAUGCGGAACCCACCAGAGCGAAACCCCUACCUAUUGUGAUACCUCCUCCUUUUCCAAGCCGGUUUGCAAAAUCCAAAAAGGAGGAACAAGAGAAAGAUAUCCUUGAGACAUUUCGCAAGGUUGAGGUAAAUAUCCCUUUAUUAGAUGCUAUAAAACAAAUACCUCGAUAUGCUAAAGUCCUUAAGGAACUGUGCACCUCUAAGAGAAAAUUAAGAGGAGAUGAAAAAGUUCACAUGGGGGAGAAUGUUUCAGCAGUUCUCCAAAAGAAACUACCUCCUAAAUGCAAGGAUCCAGGUAUGUUUACUAUACCUUGUAAAAUUGGUAGUGUUAGAAUUGAAAAGGCUUUGUUAGAUCUAGGAGCUUCUAUUAAUGUCAUGCCUCGUUCUAUUUAUUCAUCUUUGAAUAUUGGUCCAUUAAAAGAAACUGGCGUGAUAAUUCAACUAGCUGAUAGGUCUAAUGCAUAUCCUAAUGGGAUAUUAGAAGAUGUCUUAGUACAAGUUAAUGAGUUGGUUUUUCCUGCUGAUUUUUAUGUACUUGAUAUGGAAGAUGAUAACUCCUCUAAUUCUGUCCCAAUUUUGCUAGGAAGACCUUUUCUUAAGACUGCUAGGACUAAAAUGGAUGUACAUAAAGGGACUCUCACUAUGGAGUUUGAUGGAGAGGUUAUAGAAUUCAAUAUGAAUGAUACCAUGAAAUAUCCUAGUGAGGAACAUUCAGUAUUUUUUGUGGAUGUUAUUAACCCUAUAGCGCAGGAAAUUUUUUACAAGGAAAAGACGAAGACAUUUCAUGAUAGAAUGAUUUUGAGAAAGGAGUUCUCUGUUGGUCAAAAAGUUCUUCUUUUUCAUUCUAAGCUUAAACUUUUUCUGGGUAAAUUAUGUUCUUACUGGGUUGGACCUUUUAUUGUUACUAAUGUUUUUCCUCAUGGUGCAGUUGAGAUUCGGAGUCCGACCUCUGACAAAGUUUUUAAGGUUAAUGGUCAUCGCUUAAAACCUUUUUAUGAAGGUUUUUCGGUGAAUAUUGUGGAGGAUGUGGCUCUCGAGAGUCCCAAUUAUGGAGAUUGAUGCAUAAAUGUGUCUAGCCAAAGACAUAAAACAAAGGCGAUUUUGGGAGGCAACCCAAAUGAUUUAUUUAUUUUGGUUUUUGUUAUAUCUUCUUUUAAUUUUGAUUCAGAUUUUUUUUAAAAAUAAUGUGUUUGCUUAUUUUGGCCAGAAGAAAAUUUUUGAUAAGGCGUGCCCAGGUCUUAACUAAAAAGUACUUCUGUAAUUUUUAAAGUAAAAUAGUUUUAAGGCGUGCCCACGUGCUUAUUAAAAAAAUACUUCUGAAAUUUUUGGUGUCUCAAAGUGUUUCAUCACUAAAAAAAAAAAAAAUCUUUUUUUAAUUUAAUUUAAUUUAUUUUUUAUUUAAAAAAAAUGAAAAAAAAAAGAGAUUUUCUUUUGUUCUUUCUUUUAUAUAUAUAUUUAUUUAUUUAUUAAAAAAAAAAACCAAAAAUCGAAAAUCAUUGUUCACAAAUCCCUAAUUCAAAAAUUACUGUUGAUUAUCGUUUUACAGCAGCGCGCCUCAGCUCCAGCCUUCACCCCGCAAUGCAAGCAGCAGCCAGUGCGAACCAGUCGCGUGCAACGCAAGCCCCAGCAACCCAGAUUCUCAGCUCCAGCCGUGCGCAACGUAGCUGAGCAGCAGCAAACCAGCAGUGCGAACCAGCUCUCGCGCGCAAUACAACGCGAACGCAGCAGUGCGUAGAUCCAGCCCAGCAACGCAGCACGAACCACCAGCGCGCAACGCAAGCCCCCGCGCGCGCAACACCAGCAUCCCGUGUCUCGCAGCCCAGUAGCGCGAACCACCAGCGCGCAGCGCAACGCAGCACCCGCAAAGCAAGCCUCACCAGCGCGCAACGCAAGCCCGCAACGCAGCAACGAGCACACCCUGCAACGCAACCAGCUUACGCCCUGUAUUCCAGCCGGGUAAAUCGAAAUUCGUGAGUGCAAUUAUUGUAACAAUGCCGAAGAGGAAAGCAUCCACUUCCAAGUCAUCGAAAAAGACACCCAUCGUAAAGAAAUCUAAGAUUGCCGCUCCCACUACGGUUCCAUGGAACACAAUUUCAGAUUCACGCCAAGCCGUGAGACAAAGAUCGAAGCAUGGAAAAGGCAUGAGUGUUUUGCCACUUGCGGAAUCCAAUCUCGGAGGGUGCCUUGCGUUCGCGACUCAACAAGAGAAAGAGAGGUACAAAGAUAUUUCCAUGCGCAAAAUACUUCCAGCUAAGUAUAUUCAUUACCCGACUCUUGAAAAAUUGAAUGUUAAGGAUAAUUUUGAUUCUUUGAUAGAUAAGAUUGGGUUGCGUAUAUUUGUUAAUGUUGAUUGUUUGGGUUAUGUUGAGUUGAUUAGGGAGUUUUAUGCUACUUUUCAAUUUAAUAUGCCGAAUGAUUUUACUUUGCAUACCCCGGAUGUCAUUAAGUUUAGGUUAAUGGGAUGAAAUUUUUCACACUCUAUCACGGAUUUUAACCUAGCUUUAGGAUUCAUUGAUGAUGAUUAUUCUUCUAGUGAUGCAUAUUUAGGAACAACUUGUGACUUUAGCGGAAAUUUUGAGCCUUAUGGUCUUUGGCAUAAUUUAUCUGUUGAUCACAAUGCCUAUGACCCGAGUAAAUCAAAAAGUUCUUUCUUACGUGAUCCUGUUUUGAAAUGUGUGCAUCGAUUCUUAGCAUAUAAUUUUUUAGGCAAGAAAGAUCACUCAGGAGUUUUCUCUAAAACUGAAUUUUAUUUUAUCUGGUGCAUGUUAAAUGAUGUGAGGCCUAAUUUAGGUUUUUGGUUAGCGGAUCAAUUUCAAAGUGUGCUUAAACGGUAUAGGACUUUAUUUCUUGGUCCAUACAUAACUCUGUUAGCUAUAAACCUAUGUGUGCUUGAUCCCGACAAUAAUGAUUUGCAUCCUGCUUGCAAAAAGGAAUUUUUGGAUAUGUCUGUGUUUGCAAGAACAGGUGUGGUUGAAUUCAAGGAGGGGAGAUUUCAGUUUACUGAACCAGGACCCACUCAACUUCCGAAGAAGCUUUAUGCUAGGAGUGGUGCUACCUCUGAUGACGAGUUUGACGACGACACUGCUGCCCCGCCAACUAUUCCUUCUACAUCCGCACCACCUUUGAGUAUUCAGUUAGAGAAAAUGGAGCACAAGCUGAACAAGAUGGAGCAGAAUUUGGCCGCAUACUUCGAGAGUGUGGGAUUUACCCCACCAUUUCCGCCAAGCCCAUAGACGUUAUGUGGAUCAAAGCUCACAAUUCAGGGAAGUUUCUUUUUGCCCUUAAUCUUUUAUCCUUACGCUUUAAUUUUUAUGUGAGCUUUGAUUAUCUUACAUUGGGGACAAUGUAAGUUCUUGGUGUGGGGGAGGGAUUUUUGCAUUAUUGAUGCCUGGAAUUAUUAUUUUCACUCUACUCAUCUAUUUUCACUCUACUCAUCCUUAAAUGAUUUUGGAGUUAGCAUGCUUCAUAUAUUAUUAUUUUUCUUUUCUUUUCCUUCUCACUACUUUUUUCCCAUCUAUCUCAAAUUAUUCAUGUCUAUUUUUAUUUUAUUAUACUCUUUCAUCACUCACAUUUUAUCUUUCACUUUUCAUAUUACUACAUACAUCUUUCUCGCUUAUUAUCCUUUUUACCUUUCCUUUUAUAUCUCACUCAUACUUUCUUCUCAUUCUACACCAUUAUUGAUGGUUGAUUCAUUUGAAGAGUGUACAGGAUUUGAUGGCAAAUUUACCAACUUUGUGAGGAUUUGAGCCUAUGAGCAACCACUUUGCUCUAAUUAUUUUUAUUAUGUGAAUAUCAAUCCUAGUUUGUUUAUUCUAGAACUUGCUUUAUUAUGCAUGUUGAAGCCACAUUACGGGAUUUUAUGCAUUAAAAUGAUAAGGGCAAACCAUUUACCAUUUUUCUAUUCUCGCAUUUUCCUUUUUCUCUACCCGAAGACCUUUAUUUGCUACCUUUGUUUGAGCCUUAACAAUUACCCAUCUAAUUCUCUCCGUCUACUUAACCAUUUUUCUUCUUUUUUGAGCCUUAAUUUAAGGAGAUUUUUGGACUCAUUGUGUGGAUAUAUUUUGUUGCUUUUUCUACCUUGUAAUAAAGUUUCUCAAUUAGAUCAACAAGCAUUAUGCUUGAAUUAAAUUGUACAAGGUUCGUUUCUUUUGUUUGAUUCAUCACUAAAAAAAAAACAAAAACAAAAACAAAAGAAAAAAAAGAAAAAGAAAAAUCACAAAAAAAAAAUGUUUACAUUCUUGGUGACUUGAGUAGAAAUAAGCAUUUUGAUAUCAUAAGUUCAUUCAAUGAGUUCAUUUUUCUCGUUUUGAUCUCUUUUUCUUUCGUAAACCUUUCUUUUUCAUUUAACCUAUUUAACCCCAUUACAACCCUUUUAAGACCCUUAGAUUUUUGCACUUUAUUCAUGUUUUGUGGAUUGAGAUGUGAUAUAUGAGCAAGCUUAUGGUAAUAGCAUUCUUUGAUUUGAUUUGAGUGGAUAAAUGACACCCUAAACACUUUGAGUGCAUGGAGUGAAGUUAUUGAGAGGGCUAUUAAAUCUUGUUGCACUUGAAUUUUGAAUGGAUCUUCUUGGUGGUUGAAUGUUCUUAUUCUAUCUUAUGAAAUUCUAUGCUUUAAAAUCCUUGUCUCUCAAAUGUUGAUCGACUUAAUUUCUUGAGAUAUGCCUGCUUAAAAUUGUUUUUGGAUGAGUUGAGAUGAGAAUUGAGUGGAGAUUUGGAAUUAAUCUUGAGUUAUAUGCUUGAGGACAAGCAUCAUCUUGGUGUGGGGGAAUUUGUUAGAGUGCAAUUUAUGCACUAGUUUUGCAUUGUUUACUUCCCUUAAUAUCGAUGUUUUGCACUUAAUAAUAGUGAUUUACUUGUGAUUUACUUUUGUAGGUGCAAUUCUAUUGAUUGGUGAUAAAAUUGAGCUACAAGAUGAUGUUUAGGGAUGAUUGUUCCCUUGGAGAAAUUAUGAGCGGCAGAAGAACUUUGUUGAUAAGGCGUGGGCGCGUGCUGUCAGCUGCAGACCUACAGUUUUUAGUUUAACGUGUUUUAUAUUUUUGGUUAUUUUUGUAAUUACGAAUUUAAUAUUUCAAAUAUUAGUAUUUUAUUUUAAAUAGAAUUCUAGAGGAGAAGAGAGAGAGAGUAUUUAAGGGAGGAAUCUAUUGUGAAAAAUGGGGAUUUUUUGGGGGAUUGGAGAAAAGAAAGAAACCCUAGAUUUAAUUUUGCUCUUCUCUCUAUGAAGAACUAAACCUAUUUUUCUGGUUGAAGGAUAAUGAAGCUUUGAUUCAUCACUACUGUGAGAUCUUUCUUGUGCUUUAAUUGUUUUAUUGCUUUUUGGGUAUUUGUUUAUUCUCUGAAUUAUUUUUAUGAUUAUGUUUGUUAAUUAGGUAAUUGGCCACUAUUUAAUUAUCAACUUAAUCUAUUGUCAAUUAAAGGAUUCAUCGUAUGGAGAAUUUAAUGUUGGUGACAAAUAACAUAGCAGAGAGUUGUGUUGUGAGAAUAAACAAUCUAAUUUAAAUGAAUCAUCAUAUGUGUUGAUUAAGAUUUGGGUCUCUCUGGUUUUUCAGGCUGUCAAUUGAUUAAAUCCUAUGAUCGUAUCUAGGGUUGUCUAUUGAUUAGGGAAAUAACCAACGGUCGUUCCUUGGUUAUCGACUAGUUAAGGAGAGAUUGGCUAUUAGAGGGUCUUAGUAGCUAUAACCGGUCUAUUCAUAAGUAGUAAUAAUCUAUAUUUGAAUCAAUGAUCAGUAGUCGAAUCAAGCUGAGUUAAUUCCUUCAACCAGAGCUUUCUCCAAUUUGAAUUACAACUUUAAUUUGCAUUCUUGUUAUUUUAAUUUGAUUUUAUUAUUGUCAACAAUUCCCCCAUUUUACAUUUUACGUUUCAAAAGGAUUUAAAUAAUUACCGAUCUCUGUGGACACGACCCUGCUCAAUCACUAUACACAAUUUAUUUAGAGUAGGAAUUUAUUUUUGUUGGCUUCGACACCCAUCAGUUGGCGAGAGACUUUGUCAUAUAGAUUGUUUCCAGUUUUGCCCACAGAUCAGCCACUGUCUUUUCUUUGGCAACUUCUCUAAUAACAGAGUCUCCAAGACUCAAGAUUAUUGUGCUCCUUGCCCUUUUAUCUAUAUCAGUAGCCUGUUGAGGUGUUAGUGAUGAUAAAGCUUCCAUUCCCUCCUUCUUGGUGACUGGUUCUAAGGCAUCUCCCAGUCCCUGAGUUAUCAGUAGAGCCUCCAUCUUUACUUUCCACAUAUUGAAGUCGUUCUUGCCUGUAAACUUCUCCAGAUCAACUUUAGGGUGAGCCAUACUAGAAUCUGAUUAAAGAAACCCUGCUCUGAUACCAAUUGUAGAACUUGAAGGGCACUUCAGUUGCUCAAACACCUUCAGCCACUGCCCAAGAUUCAAGAUCAGAUUCCUAGAUGCUUGACUAUAUAUGACUUGAAAAAGGUUUAACCAAGAACUUCAAGUGAACAGAACAAUCAAUGGUUUAAGAAUCAAAGAAUCGAAAGAAACUAAAGAAUAAAGAACAGAAGAGAUUUAACGUGGUUCAGCUAAAACACUUAGCUUACAUCCACGGAGGAACAAGACUUCAGGCUUUUAUUGAAUAAACUCAAGAUUACAGAGAAUUACAGAUUGUAUCUCAUGGAAAAUUACCACCCUUAAACCCAGGAGUAACCCCCCUUUUAUACUCAUAAAUUGUAGCCAGCUCUCUGCACCAGAAUCAUCUCCUUUUCAGUUGCUGAUAACUUCCUAGAAACUAAUCCCAGAUGCUUACGUGCAAGCCAUGCUUCAUUAACGACUUUAACGCCUUCUUUCAUUCGAAUCCAUUCACGUGAGUCUCAGGUGUUUCACUUAAGUCAAACGGCAUUCCAAGACAUCAUUUCACUUAGCUUUGGUUUACACUCCGAAACGCACUCCCUCAAGUCGUUUUGAAUGUCACUGAAUUGCUUUCACUGGUUACUUUACAAAAACAUUUUAAUUAGCUUCAAUAAAUUUGUAAUUCACUUGCUCAUAGAUGUGAUCUCUCCGUUUCACCUAAAUUUUGCGCAUUGUUUGCUCAUAAUCUUUGUUUUUAACUUGAUUUUAAGAUUUUAUUUUCAAUUUUUAGCUCUUUCAUCCUGUUAUCAUUUAUUUUUCUAUAAUUAAUUUGAUUUCUCUUAGUCUGAAUAUGAAUUUAAAUUGUUUGCUUUUAGUUCUGUUCUGAGAUGUCCGCAGUUUGGAUUCGUAUUUCGGUUCAUUUUUAUCAAUAUUUUAUUACGAAACUUUUACACUCUAGUUUAUAGAAGUUUAAUUUCAAUUUGAAUUCGAUUUGUUGCUGGAAUUUUAAAUUUAAUUUCACAACAAGUAUGAUGGAAGAUUCAAUUUCUGUUCUGCCUUUGAAUCUUCAUUUUGAAUUUCUUGUACACUUUUGAGUGUUCAAGCUAAAUUAUAUGCUUCUCCAGUUCAUAAUUCGGUUCCUAAAUUUAUUAUUAUUCAUCUGGUGUUUGUAAACUCUCUGUUUGAAUUUAAUAAUUUCAUGCAUUUUUUUCCUUCUUCUUCUCAGGUCAUGCGAAAGAGUCGCUCAAAGAUGAGCCAGAAAUUCACAGCCGAUAAGCCGCCACCGUCACGGCAACCAACGGAGAAGUCAACAACUUCCUCAGGAUCCUUCUCGACAGAGGCUGGAUCGUGCCUAUCAAGCACCGCGAGCGCCGUUUCGAGCUCGCAAAGCCGCUACUGGGUUGCGGCUCGUGGGAAGCCGAGGGUUAGAAGAACUAGCAGCGGCCCGUCUCACAUUGAGCGCCGAGCCGAAGCCAUUCUGAAGCUGCUUUCUUCCCACGGCUGUUCGUCAGAAAUCAAGAUCCGUCAAGCCCUGGGUGACAGUCCCGACACUAGCAAAGCACUGAGAAUGUGCGAGUUGGCUUGGCUCUUUAUUUCGCGUUUGAUUUAAACCGUUAGAUCAUACGAAAUCUCUUUUACUAACUUGUCGAUCCGACGGUUGUUGUAGCGUGUCCAAACGAAACAGUUUAAAUUCUAACCGUCUGAUUUAUUUAUUUGCAGGUUAUUGAGGAGUGAUGAAGUCAAGAGAUAUGGCACAGGAGGACGGCAGGACCCAUAUAUUUACUAGGUAUUAAUCUCCUUAUCAUUCGUUAUCUUACUUAAUUAUAGAACUACAUGAUAUUAUUAUACACUAAUCACAGUUCUCUUUUUUUUUUUUUUUUUUCUAAUUACUAACAUAUGAAACUCUAUUGCCUGUGAAAUUCAGGGAAUUUUGUUUGUGUAUAAUUAAUCAUUUCUUUUUUUGGGAUUAAUUUAUAAUUAAUUUUGCAGAUAGCAAGUAUCUAGAACGAGCAGGACCCAGCAACACCGGGUAAUAUAUAUAUAGCGAGACUUUGCAAUUGGUAAAUAUUAAGAGUGGCAGCCAUUAAAGUUGAUUAAUAUGCUAGUAUAAUAUUAGUAUUGACAUUAGGCAGAGACGGAGACUUUAGUGAAUAUUAUUGCUAUAUGAGUGUGGCGUACGCCUACGUAGUUAAUUACAAUUUCCAAAUCUCUGCGGGUUACUGAAAAUUUAAGUGCCUUGCAUAUUAUUGCUAUUAACCCAGUUUUUCAUGCUCGCUCGAAGCAUAUUGAAUUAGAUUAUUACUUCAUUCGAGAAAAGGUUGCUGAUGGUGCCUUGGUUACGAAGUUUGUCCCUUCUUCGUUACAAAUUGCAGAUGUUUUUACUAAGGCUUUGUCAAAAGCCAUGUUCCGCAAUUUCAGAUACAAGCUUGGCGUUCAUCAAAUGUCACUUGCCAGCUUGAGCGGGGAUGUUAAGCAAGCUGACCAAGAUUACCAAAAGGAAAGUCAUCAACGGUCAAGUCAACAACGGGUUUAUCACUCCACACAACUUGCUCACAUCAAAGCUAUUUGUCAAGGAAUAUCUCCAGCACGAUUUUUGCACUUGAAUGCCAAUAUCAUGUACGAAUAUUUCAUUCCUAUUUUAUAAAGAUAUUGUGCGAUAGUUUAGGAAGUAUUCACUUAUUUUCCUUUAAUAUUAUUAAGCUUUUUAACGGCUACUUUGUCUUUAUUUUGUAUGAAUAAUUCUGUAAAUUUCAUUAAAAAUAUAGAACAAGAAUUAUACUCUUCAUAGAAUUUCUUUCACUAAAUUAAUUAAAAAUAUAGAACAAGAAUUAUCCUCUUCAUAGAAUUUCUUUCACUAAAUUCAUCAGCCUCUUGAACCCUCUCCUGAGGGCGCCUUCUAUCCUCUGUUUUCUGUUACCAUACACUAAUAGACAAAAGCAUUUAGAAUGACAACUGGGACAUAUAUAAGAGUGAAAUAAUUGAAAAAUUAUGCUUUUUUGUUUGUCAUGUUAAAAUCGUAAAGUGCAUAAGUACUAUGAAAGAGAUUAAUUUACGGAAACUGAAGCCAAGGGUUAAAAAAAAAAGGUGCAAAGAGAAUAAAGGGCAACGCUUAUGUAAAGAGACAUAAUUGUAUUGGUAGCACAAUGUCACGUUCAUACAGGGAUCAAGCAUACUAUUUACAGGUGGUAAGUGCUAAGAAUUGAUGUAGCUAGAAUCCAAAGAUGAUAAGGUAUGUUGUGCACUAUUGUUUAUUCUACAAUCAAUCUUGACCCUUGAUGCUUGGCUCUCAAUCUUGUCCAUCGAUCUUCUCUGAUCUCGAAAACUUCAAGACCUUUCAAUCUUAUGCCUUAUUAUUGGUGUCUUCCAUGCUGUAGAUUUCAAAUACAAGCUUUCCCGCCAACUUGCCAAGUAUUUGUCCAUUGGUGCAUUUUAUCAAACAGUUUGGAUACUUAUACCAAACGCCUUCUGUUUUAACUCCCCCUCUCAAGCUCAAGCAUCUGGGAAGACAUUAAUAAGCUUGUUUCUCAAGUAUAUGUAUCUGAAAAUUAAAUUUUAUAAAUUGUAUUCGGACUCUACAUUUUCUAAGGAACAUUGGUUUGGCUUAUAAGCUUAUUAUACUCAGGCUUGGUAGGAUUAUCGGUCGGUAGAUGACCGAGUGUUAGAGCUUUCGAAUUUAUGCCAAUUAAAAAAAAAUCUACAUAAGUUUUCAACUAGGCUAUUACCACAAUAAACAUUUGGAUAAACUAUUAUUGAAACCUUAUUGAGAAGUGGGACAUGUCGCAUACCAAUGCACUGACAUAUCUUCAAAUAGUGGUAACUCCACACAACAUGGCGCAACAAAUUAAGAGUUACAUAGAUAAAUUGGGUUCCCAAGAUUUCUUGAUAGACGGUUAAUGACUAUUUUGAUGUCUGUUUUGCAGACUGAUCUGCGUUUCCAGAGCCAUGCAGUGCUGGCCCUGCAGGAGGCAGCCGUGGCUUAGGGCAUCUCUAAUGUAGCACUAAACCUAACACCAAAUCACAUUUUACACCAAAAAGCUUCUCCAAUGUAACACCAAAAUGGUGUAAUGAAUAGUAUUGCACCAAAUAUGGUGCAAUACUAUUCAUUUGCACCAUAUUUGGUGCUAGGAAAAAAAAUCUCAAAUAUCCUUAUUACUUUAUAUUAUUUACAUAUAUGUCCUAUUUUAUAUAAUAUUUUAAGUUAUUAUUAUUUUUUGUUAUUUUUUAAUUUUUGAAUAUUAUACUAAUAUUUUAAAUAAAAAAUAUUCAGAACAAAAAUUUAUAAUAAAAAUAAAAUGCCAAUAACAUUAAUUACUAGAUUACAUAUUACAAAAUAAAAAAUACAAAAUUAAAUUAACACAAAUUAAGAAAACUACUACUACUGGCAUAAAUUAGAACAAUUAUUUAGUAAUGUGGGAGAUCAUUAUUAGAUCCUCCAAUAUCAUUAAAAUAUUUUUCGAUAUUAAUGUAAUGUUUAAUUUUCAUAAUGCACUUAUUAUUGUUAUUGUAUUUUCUAUAUUAAUGUAAUGUUUAAUUUUUAUAAUGUACUAAUUUAGUUAAUUAAAUGUAAAUUUAAUAAUUUUCUAUAUUUUUUUUGUUAAUCGAUAUAAAAUUAUUUAUUACUUAAUUAUCUAUAUUAAUAGUAAUAUUUAUUGUGUUUGAAUUAAUUCUUGAGAAUUAAAAGAAUAAAAAGAAGAAUAUUCUUUUUGGUGUAAAUGGGUUGGAGAUGAAAUAUUAAUUUAAUGUGAAAAAGGUACAUUUUAGGUAUUGGUGUUAUACCAAAAUAGUGUUAUGCAUUGGAGAUGGCCUUACCUCCUUAAGGACACUAACCUCUGCGCCAUUCACGCAAAGCGUGUCACUAUUAUGCCCAAGGACAUACAGCUUGCCCGUAGGAUCCGUGGCGAGCGUGCUUAAGCGCAAUUGCCGCUUGCUUCAAUUGAAUGACUGGAAAGGGAAGGGGGAAGUUGUAAUGUGUUAAUUUGUAUGUGGGGUUGGUGGGGACGGCGUCGCUUUUUCUUAGUUUUUUUUUUUCUUUUUCCUCCCUUAAAAAUGGUGAAAUUACUUAUACUGGUUUUUCUAUUUUACAUUUUGAAUAUUAUUAAUUAAUAUAAUUCAGGGAAAUUAUCAUUCGUAUACCCUAUAUUUGUUCUGUUAUCAAAAAUACUAUAACACUUUGAGGGUGUAUCAAUCGUCUACCCUUAGUUGACAAAAUGUAUCAUCCGACCACCAAACCGUUAGUUGCCGUUUGAAAGUUAACGGAAUUAUAGUGAAUUAAUGAUUUUACCCUUGAAAAUUAUCACUUGUAUACCCUUAAAUUCUUUUUUUAUCACUCGUAUACCCUUAAAUUAUUACUUGUAUCAUAUGAAAAGACCAAAUUACUCUUCUGACGUCAUCAUACUUAAACAGCAACUAAUGGUUUGGUGGUCAGCUGAUAUAUUUUGUCAACUUAGGGUGGACGAUUGAUACACCCUCAAAGUGUUGAAGUAUUUUUGAUAAUGGAGUAAACUAAGGGUAUAUAAAUGAUAAUUUUCCUAUAAUUUAAGAUAACAAUUAGGGAUAAAACAAUAAUUUUUUAUUCAAGAUCAUUUCAUCAAUAUUCUGUUAAAUAUUCUCACAAUUUAACUUUAUCCUUAACAAAAAUUUAACUUUUUUUUUAAAACUAACGGAACCAAAUCCUAUAUAUAAAUGUAUAGUAUGCAUUAAUAAAUAAAUAAAACUUUGACGACCGGAGGGAAUGAAUAAAUAAAUAGAUAAAACUUUCGAAGCUCGUGAAUGUGCUAUUUUUGUGUUUUUUAGUAAUUGUUUAAUUGAAAAAAGAAAGCUUCGGGGAUUUAUUUUUGACGGGACGGCUGAGAUUUGUCGACCUUCCAGAGAAUGAGAACAGAUUUUCAAUUUGUUGAUAAGUAUUCCUACAGUCCAGCCCAAAAGUACCGGCUCAAUGAGUUCGGUCAUGUUUGGUAACAGGUAUCCAUCACUUUCAAAAUCCGGUCCUACCAACGUAUCGGCUUUCACUGGCUGUCGUAUCAUCCGUGAAUUCAUGGGAGAGUGAGACUACUCCAAUCUCCACGCGAGAAAUUUUAGAAUAUUUUUGUUAUAUUAUAAUUAAUUAAUACAUAUAUGACAUGUGUAAUUGAGUUUAAUAUAACCACCAUUUGUAUAAUAGUUUAUAAAAUAAAUGCACACAUAUCAUGAUAUUAUUUACUUAUUGUAUGGAUAAUGAAUGCACACAUUGCAUCACUCUUUGAUAAACAAAUUCAUAAUAUAUAUUAAUCUUUGUGGAAGUUAUGUCCAAAAAAUAAAUAUUGUAAAAAAAUUUUAAUUACUAAUUUUUUGGACAUUAAUAAAAAAAAUUAAUAUAUUAACUCCUCAUGGAGUAUUCAAAACAAUUAAUAUAAAUUUUUUUGUUUCUAUUUUACUUUUUUCGGUUUAAAUUGAUAAUUUAAUUUUUCUUUUUAUUAAUGUCCAAUAAAAAAGAAAUAUUAUUGUAGGAGUGUAAUAUUGUAAAAACAAGUCAAAAAGAACAAAAAGUAACAAUAAGGGUGUCAAUACUUAACGACAAUGAUGUUUUGAGAUAUUUUUAAAAAUAUAAGAAUUAAAUAGGUAUUAAUCUCAAAAUAUAGGGAUUAAACGAGAUUUUACCCUUAUUAAUUAUAGUCAUCUUUUUAUAAAUUACAAUUGGAGGAAGUUGGCUAAUGUUGUUGACACGCACGCACGCACACAUAAAGAUUUAUUGGAAGUGCUUAUGCCGGCUCGAAGUUGUUGGGAAUUAAUGCAUGUAUUGAUUUAUUGGGAGUGUUUAAAUGAUUUUGUGAUUUACUUGAUUGAUUGAAUAUUGUUUGAUUGCUUCAUAUCCAUUCUACAAAGUUUAUUUCUUUGUGAAAUUUCAACGACAUAUUUUUUUUUAAAAAAAAUAUUAAGGGUGUUCUAAAUAAUUUUCAAAAAUAUAUGGACUAAUUAGAAUUAAUUACUAGGUAAUUAACUUGAUCUGUACAGGGUGAAACAAUAUUUAUCCUAAUUGUAUCAUGACAAAUACUUUUCCGAUUAGAAUUAGGAAACCAUAAGUUUAUUGAAUUAUUUUUUUUUAUUUUCCUUUGGAGAAACGGAUUAGAGAAUUAGAAAACAAUCCUAAUGAUAUAAUUAUCAGGUUUAAAACAGUGCAUAAACAGUGAAAAGCUAAUUAGUCUGUAGAGUAAUUUGCUAAUUGUUAUCUCCUCUCUAUGCGCGCUGAAUAAUUUGUUGCAUGCAAACUUUUUAUUUUAUGCAAAUCGUACUUACUGUAACAUUGGAAUUGAUGUAUAAGCAAAAUUACAAUAAUAUUUAUGUCAAUAAAAAUAGUUUUUUUUUUCCUUUUUAAAUAAAGGAGAGCAACGGGAUGUUGCUCUGCUCUACAUUUUUGCUAUCAUUUUAUUCUUUUUUUUUUUUUUUUUUGGCUUCUUAAAGCCUCAAACUUUGAUAACCAAAACUUCACCGACCUCUGAAAAAAUCGGCAGAUUAGUUUUUAUUAUCGGAAUAAUUGUUUGAGAAUACUAAAACAAAAUAUAAAAUAAGAAAAUAUGGGGUUAAAUUUGGGGAAAACAAAAAAAUCCAAUUGGGAAUUUUUUUUCUUUAAUUUUUGUUUUACUUGAUUGAGAUUUCUCCUUAGUUCUUACAGUUUUAAGUUUGGAUGCCGUAGGGUUAGUAAUUUAGUACUUCCUUUGCAAGCUGAGUGCGAGAACGAAAAUCUUUAAAGAAAUUAAAAAAGAUUAAAAAAAAGCAUACCAAUAGGUAAUUAUAAAUAACCAUAAAUAAACAUAAACAAAAUGUUUAUGAAGUAAAUUACACAUGCACAUAUUAUUUUCUUGUUUUAUUUCUUACUUGUCUAUUUUAUUUGCUGCUUGAUAACCCUUAAAUACUAAUCUAGUACUGCUAAUUUCAGACACAAAAUUUUUAACUCUAGGCUGCAGUUUUACUCAAAAUGAUGACCGCUGGCUUCGCACCAUUUAACCGGCAUACAUUUCUACAAAUUGAACAAGGCUAUUGAUUUUCAUUAUUAUUUUUUUAUUUAUUUAUAAAUUACUAUUUUAAUUUUCACUUUUUAUUGGGUUGUUUAACGGAUUAGUGAAGUUGGUGGUCGUGAUGCACUCACAAGGUACAAUUUUAUUUUAUAAUUUCAAAUUUGUAUUUUAAAAUGCAGGUACAUUAUGUAUACAUAAUUAUUGAUUUUCGUAUGUGGGUGUUUUGUAAUAUUGCUAAAAGACCAAACUUUAAUAAACUAUUUUUCAUCUUUUUUUUCCUUUUUUCCUAAAGUUUGAGUGAUAUCCGCAUUUUAAAUUCAUGUGGAACAAAAGCUAAUGUAUGCACAAAAUUCUUUUAUUUUUUCGGAGAAAAAUGGGUAAGAGAAGAAGAUUUUUCUCUUGCAAAAGAAAAACUAAUACGAUGCAAGCAUAGGAAAGAGGUCAGUGUUUUGGAUUAGAAUUUAGUAUUGAACUGAAUUUUAUACUAAAUAGUACUGCGAUUAAUAAACUCAUGAUUUGCUUUUGUUUUUACUUCAAGUGAAAGAAAGAGGAAACCUUUUGUUUUUUGUUUGAUUCUUGACUAUAGAUGUUACCUAUAUACAGAGUUGAGGUAGCUACCUUAAGUGAUGGUGAUAAAAAGAUUAAGCAGCGCACACAAUCUUAUUGUCGUCCAGACCAUCGAGCUGUGAUGACUCUAGCUUUUUGGUUACAUUAGCUUUAGUGGAAAGGAGGGCCAAUUUAAUAAAGACUAGAUUUGGUGGCUUACUAUAAUGCUUAUUCUCAGGGAAUCUAAUGUUAUAAGAUGAUUUAAUGAUCUUCUAUGAUUGUGAGUAGUAUAGUAUAAUUGAAAAGAGCCUGGGCUCCUAUGAUGAAUAUAUAAUAGUAACACAGUACUGUGAUUGAAAAAAACACAGUUACAAUAAACUCUUCAUUUAUUCAUUGCGGAGAUUGAAUGGCAAACAGAGAAUAAAAUGAAGUAGAGGGAUCUCAUUGCCAGUAAAAUUGACCCUCUUUAAUGUUAUAUGGCACAGGUGUGUGUACAGCAAGAGCAAGUUACUUGCAGUUUUUAUUGUAAAAUAUACAGGUUAUGACCAUGAUCAUUGUAGUUAGGUUUUGAUGAUUUUAGAUGCUUUUUUUUAUUUUUUUUAAAUUGUGACACCUUUGAUUUAUGGUAGUUUUGCAGAAGAAAAAAAUAUAUAUAAAAAUUAGGAGGGAUGAGUUAACUAACAAUUGCAAUCAUUGCAGUAAUGUUGAUGAGUGAUACAUCAUUUUAAAUUUACUUGUCAGUUGCUGAAAUGAUGAAAAAAAAACAAUAAACAAUAGCAGUAAUAUUUUUAUGGAAAUUCUUGGUUUUUAUGGAAAUACUCUUGCUGAAAUUCUAAGUUUGACUUUCAACUCUUGGUUUUUAUGGAAAGUAAAAUGACUUGUUUGUUAUAUUCAUACAACCCACUCUACAUAAUGAUUUCAUUUUAAUAAAUGGUUGAUGAUCUCCACAGAAAAACUACUUCAAUUCUUUUUUUUUUAUUUAACUUUUUGGUUGUUGAAAAUAGCCUUAAUUUUCAAAUCAUUGGAGAAAGAGUAAAGAACAUUUAACAAAUUUAUGUGCCAAAAAUAAAGGAGAAAUUGAAGAGAAAGGGUGCUUGCAGAAGUGGGUGCAAAGAUAAAUCAGUCCAUAAGAAUUAUUGUGGUUAUUAAUUUUUUGGCAAUAUAAAAAUUUUUCAGCAAAUAAAAAUAGAUUUUUUCUGAUUUACUAAAAAAUUAAUUAAAAACUUCGGCGAUAGCAUUUUUUAUGGGUGCAUGUACCCUCCCUUUAAAAAAAAUAUAAUAAUUAAUACUUAAUAUAGUAUUAAAUACGAAAAUAUCAAUAUUUGACUACACAAAUUUAUAUCAUUAGGUCCUUAAAAUUUAAAAUUGAAGACACAAAAUGAAAUUUAUAUAAAUUUCAUUCUCAUAGGAAAGGAUCCUCUUAUAAUCUUAAAAUAUUUGAGCUUUGAAAGAUUUUUUAAAACAAAUGUACUUUUAUUUUUGUACAAUCAAUAUUUACUUAUAUAUUAUAUUUUUAUUUAUUACACUACUAGAAAAAUGGUCUUUUGUGACACUUGUCUUCUGACACUUUAUUAUAAAGUAUCAGUAAUUAGAUGUAUUUGGGGCAUUUUCCGUGUUUAACAUAUAAGUAUCACAAAUUGCUAAUACUAUGGUGUCAGUAAAUUUAAUAUCACAGAUUCGUGACACUAAAGUAUUAGUAGUUAAAAAAAUAAAAUUUUAAUUUUGUAUCUAGUAAUAAUCGAACCGAAGCCCCCUAAGCCAUAACCUUUUGAUUUUAACCGCUACACCACUCGGCCACAAAUUGCAUUUUUGAACUUAUAAAUUAAUAAAUAAAUAAAUAUUAAAACUUAAAACCUAAAACCUAAAAAAUUUUCAUGUAUGGUAUGUGUGAAACGUAAAACCUAAAAAUUUUUGUUAAGUCAAAAAUCUAUCUUAUGGCCGCCGAAGCUUUCUUCCUUCUCUCUCCUUCCCUCUCUCUCGCUCUCUUUCUCUCUCGAACAAUGAUCUACCUUGAAAGCCACCUCCGUCAACACCUUGAAAGCCGCCGUCCUUAAGCUAAAAUAUCCCUGAAAAGAACCCAGAAAGUGCUAUGAAGAAUUUGGGCAAAGCUAAGGUUAAUUUGAAAGUCCGAAUCAGUGUUGUGGUAACUCUUUGCCUCAUUCUCUAUUCUCAUUGUUUAAGUAUUUAUCUGUUAAUUGAUUGAUGUUUAUUGAGUGCAAAUGAGAGCUUGCACUUGUUUGGAAAUCUAGCCAUCUAGGGUUUUUGUUGCUUAUAAUCUAAUUUAUUGUUUAAUAAAAUAAAUAAAACUCAGCUUUAUUAUAGGUGGAAUUCAGUUUAUUAAGUGAAAGAAUGAUUACAAUUGGUGAUUAUGGAUUUAGGUUGAAUGCAAUUUGUUAAUUAAAAGAAUAAUGGCAAUCAACAGUCAUGGAUUUAGUAUGUAUUAUAUAUUUCGUUUAAUGGUGUGUAUGAAAACCCAAAACCUAAAAUUUUCUUAAGUAAAAAUCUCAGUUCUCCCUCACAACCUAUAAGCCCAUCACUCUCUCUCUCUCUCUCCCCCCUCUUUCUAGCUAACAACCCAAAACGUAUUGUGAAACCGCCAUUUCAAUCUUUCAAAGCUCAUUAGUUAGCUGGUCAUUGUGAAAAGUAAGGUUAUUGUUUGCUUUUAUGUCUAAUUUUACUUUAAACAUGGGGAUUGAUGAUAUUCGAGUUGCUGAACACUUGAUUUUGAGGUGAAAGAUUAAUUAAUAGUUUACGAAAUUAUGCUGAAAAUUUGAGGAUUGAUAGACUGUUGUUGUGAACUUGGUUGUUUCCGAACUUGACUAAAUGACUUUCAAUUGAUUUGAAAGUUUGAUUAAACUAAGUUUAAAUGAGAACAUUUUAAUUCUGGAAAUUUUGGAAUGAAUUGGGUUUAUAUUUGAUUUUGAAUGGAUUUCUCAAUAUGGUUGGUUGUUGUCCAAUUUUAUUAGAAAUUACAUAUGUACCAUGUUUGAUAUUGCAAACGUAUAGUCUAACAUAGUUAGAAUAAGUUGAAAUUCGGAUAGACUACAAUUCUAUUUGCAUACUUCGAAUCUGGAAAAUUUUAUUUUGAUUGAACCUGUAAUUUAUUUUUAAUGAUUUUUCAAACUCUGCUGCCUCUGCAGUAACUUCUUUUGACAUAAAUGUUCAUUAAUAUUUGAUCCUAUCAAACACCAGCCUAAUGAUAUCGGAAUAGCCUCAAAUUUUAAUAUGUUGUUGACUUAUAUGUCCACUUAAACUCUGGAAAGUAUCAUUCUAAUAUAUUUAGUAUUUUAAAUUUAAUAAAUAUUCAAACACCUGCUGCUACUUUUACAGUUUCAUAUGCAAUUUUAACUUAUAUAGUUUUAUCAUGUGAGAAGCAAAUGUAUGGUUGUCCAAAUGACUUGGAAAUUUUUUUUGUGGUGCAUUGAAAUGUCUAAUUAUGUUUUGUAAGUUUCAUAGCAUUCCAAAUUGAAUUAAAGAAAAUCUUAAAUUCAAGUUGUCAAUUUUUCCUAUUAAAUCUGAUUAGUGAUAAAUCUACUAACUUGCAGUACUUUUCAGGAAAAAAAAUGUGUCAACGCUGUGAAUUGCAAUGGGAGAAGAAAGUACUAAAGGCAUAAAUCUUUUUUCAUUAUAUUUGGGACUAUUCUUAAAGGUUAGUCUUUUCCUUUUUCCUUUUUUUCUUUUUUAUUUAAGGUAAUCAUAUUCAUUUUAAUUUUAAUUACAAUCAAUUUUGCGUUGUUAGACAACUUGCACCAACCAAUCCAACAACAAAUGAAGAUAACAUUUUUGAAAUGCAUUCAAUUUUUUAAAAUAGCAAAAAGAAAAGGAAAAAUGAUACUAGUUUAGGCUUUAGGAAAUUUGCAUCAUCAUUCUUGCACUGCAGCUGCCUCUAUCUCGGUGCUCUCGGAGAAGUAAUCUUGCUUGAUUUUGCGUGAUAGUUGAUACAAGCCCGUCCUAGCCAUUGCAAAAUUGACACUAAAAAGGUUCCAGUUUUUCAUAUUGUAGUUUGAAAAGUCUGCAAUGUUUGCUAUGCUGAUGCCCCAUUUGAAUGUUGGAGCCCAAAAAUGAAUGGUUUUAGGACUAGCCGGGUGGUUCCAGAAAGCUAGGAGCUUGUUAGCUAUUCUUUUUAAUUGAACUAAUUUAACUUAAAUAUUAGCCCGAUUAUUGAUUUCUAUGGUUUGCCAUUGAUUUGAGUUUGACAUUCUUGUUUUGUGUUGGUUUGAGUUUGACAUCCUAGUUUAAGACUUUGAAGGCUUCCAAGAAAUGAUUUUGGAUUAUGAGCAAAUGAGUAAUAGUUUGAAAAUUAAUUUACUCUAUCAAAUAUAUACUUAGUGUAGCAUAUUAAUUUUAAGAACUAUGGAUCAUUCCUUGAAUAUUCUAGUAAAUGUUUAUGUUAUAUAUGCAUGUCUUAAUAUAUAAUAAUUAUAUUUUGAAGUUUGUUUUUUUUUCCCCCUUUCUAGGUUUAGGAAAAAUGUUUAAAGUGAUUUUGGGUUAUGAUGUCAAUCAAGUUAAAGCAACAUUACUUGUGAGUGGAAAUAUAUAAUGAUUAUAUUUUUAUUCUACUUUUUUUUCUUCUUAAAGUUUUAUAAUUAGGCAAAAUUAAUGAAUACUUAAUUACAAUUUAGGGUGAUAUUCUUUAAAUGGUUCACAUGAAUAGAUUUAAGUAGUAUAAUAAAUCUCAUACUCACUUUAUAAAGGCUUAACUAAGUUUGCAAAUAUUAUUUCUUUUAGUAGUAAUAAUUUUGGAUUGAACUCUCAAAUUAUUGAAAUAUUUUAUGUCCAAACUUUAUUAUGCCUAAUAUAAAUAUGGAGAUUCAUAGUUAUUUUAUGCCCAGUUUAAGGAAACUGCAGUUUGAGGAAUUAUUUUUUGCCUUGUUAAAUAAGCUUUUAAAAUGAAUAAAUUGAGGAAAUGAGUGGUGAUUUAUUUAUAAUAGAGCAUUUGUGAUAGCUUUUAACUAUGCACAAAAAUCAUUUUGUAUAUGUAGAUAGAGUAACAUGCUUGUGCUGAAAGUAGAUAUUACAUUGAAAACUUCUUGUCUACUAUAGUUUGCUAUAUAUAUAACCUUUACCAAAAGAGAAUAAUUGAGUUUAUUUAUAAAUAGCUUAUGAGGAUUUUUUUUUCUUUCGAACAAAAUAAUUUUAUUUAUGUUAAUUGUUGUUUCUCUAAUGGCUGGAUAUUGGCAGCUAAUUUUUUUUUCUUUUCCAUGUAUUCAUAUGCAGAUUUGAUCAAUGUGUUUGAAGUGUUUAUUCUUCAACUUCACUUAUAUCCUAACCCAUACAGUCUAUUGAAUGGAGAAGCUGCUGAUGUGAUAACGCAAUUAUACUACUCAUAUUCAAAGAGUGAAAGACAGUCAUCCUUCUCAAUUUAGCUUCUCGAUUUAUUAAAUUUAGCCACAAGUAGUAGGCAUUUGAUUGGAUGGUAGAAAUUUUUAUGUAUUGAAUUUGGAUUAUUGAGUUAUGAGAGUAGGAUAUCUCAUAUUUUUGUUAUUGAAGUUUUGAAAUUUGUAAUAUAUACUAAUAAUAUUUAAAUGUGAAAUGAAAGAUUUUGUGAUAUAAAUCAAUUUCUUUUUGUUAUUUUGUGGUGCCUUUUAAUUUUACCAAUAAAUCAAUAGGCAAUGAUCCAAUUCAUUUUUUAAAAAAAUAAAUUAACUAGUGAUACUAUGGUAACAGUAAUCAUAGACACUAAUAAAAUAUCAAUAACUACUAACAUUAUGGUGUCAUAAUAUCGGUGAUACUGUAGUAAUAGUAAUCACUGACACCACUUACAAGUGUCACUAUUUUUCUGAAUCCCAGAUUACUGGCACAAUUAACAAGUGUCAGUGACAGUAAUUUCUGACACUAUUCUAAAGUCAGUAAAGACCAUUUUUCUAGUAAUGUUAACUAUCAAUCAUGUGAGUAUAUUUACUCAGAAAUAUCAUAUCAAUAGAGAAUCUUGAUCCCACGCACACGCAAAUAUGUUAAUUUCUAUACGCUUCACUUAACCUAUAGAAUCAAUUAUCUAAAAUGCAAGUUUGUGGCCACAAAAAAAGCCAAAGAAAGAAGAUAACAACAAUUGACUUGUCUAUUAUACUCAUACUAUCCUCUCGACAUAAUGAUAUCAUUUUAAUAAGGCAAUGGCUGAUGAUCUCCGUUGAAAAACUAAUUCAAUUUUUUUGCUUCAUUUAACUUUUUGGUUGUUGAAAAUAAGCUUAAUUAUCAAAUAAUUGGAGAAAGAGUAAAGAACAUUUAACAAAUUUAUGUGCCAAAAAAAAAAAAAAAAGAAGUUGAAGAGAAAGGGUGCUUGCAGAAGUGGGUGUCAAAGAUAAAUCGGUCCAUAAGAAUUAUUGCGGUUAUUUUUUGGCAAUGUAAAAUUUUUAUAGCAAGUAAAAAUUAUUUUUUUUCCGAUUUACUAAAAAAUUAACUAAAAACUUCUGUGUCAGCAUUUUUUAUGGGUGCAUAUACCCUCCCUUUAAAAUAAAUAAUAAUUAAUGCUUAAUAUAAUAUUAAAUACGAAAAUAUCAAUAUUUGACUACUCAAAUUUAUAUCAUUAGGUCCUUAAAAUUUAAAAUUGAAGAUACGAAAGGAAACAUAUAUAAAUUUCAUUCUCAUGGAAAUGAUUCUCUUAUAAUCUUAUAAUAUUUGAGUUUUGAAAUUUUUUUUGAAACAAAUGUAAUUUUAUUUGUGUACAAUCAAUAUUUACUUAUUUAUUAUAUUUUAAUUUAUUAACUAUCAAUCAUGUAAGUAUAUUUAGUCAGAAAAAUUAUAUCAAGAGAGAAUCCUAAUUUCACGCAAACACAAAUACAAGACAAAUAUGUCAAUUUCUAUACUAUUCACUUUCCUGUAGAAUCAAUUAUCUAAAGUGCAAGUUUGUGGCUACAGAAAACUCGCCAAAGAAAGAAGAUAAUAACAAUUGAGCAUUGAUAGCAAAACUAAUGCAUCAUUUUCUUCUUGACUUGAUAAGAUGGCGCCAUUACAAAAAAACAAGUACCUUAAUUGAUACUACUGGCCAGUUCAUCUCUUCCAGUCUUGCUUAGUUACAAUCACAAACACCACGAGAACGACAUUUGCAUUAUAUAUAUCUUCAGCAGUCGAAACACCUUGCAUUACCAAAUAAACCAGUAACAAACAAAGCAAUCUUUCCUGGAGACGAACCUUAGUCUCAGUAUGAUCACUGUGUCAUUAACCCACUGCCUGCUUCUUUGCUUGGUUGUUGCAGCAGCAGCAGCAGCAAGCAGCAAUAUUACCACAGACCAACAAGCUCUUCUUGCCCUGAAAGAUCAUAUAACUUAUGAUCCGACCAACCUUUUAGCCCAUAAUUGGACCUCGAAUACCCCUGUUUGUACCUGGAUUGGCAUCACUUGUGAUGUCAAUAGCCGUAGAGUCACAGCCUUAGAUAUUUCUCAAUUCAAUCUACAAGGCACCAUCCCUCCUCAACUCGGAAACCUCUCUUCGCUCGCAACGCUUAAUCUUAGUCAUAACAAGCUUUCUGGAGACGUUCCAUCCUCCAUCUACACCAUGCAUUCGCUAAAAUUUCUUGACUUCACUGAUAACCAGCUCUCUGGUUCAGUGUCUUCCUUCGUCUUCAACAUGUCUUCAAUAUUAGACAUUCGUUUGACCAAUAACAGACUUUCUGGUCAGCUUCCGAAAAAUAUUUGCAACUAUCUUCCUCAUUUGAAAGCCCUUUUUUUGGACAAAAACAUGUUUCAUAGCAAAAUUCCUUCUGCUUUAUCAAAGUGCAAACAACUGCAACAAUUAAAUUUGCAGUUCAAUAAUUUAUCCGGUGCAAUACCAAAAGAAAUCGGCAACUUGACUAUGCUCAAAGGGAUAUAUCUCCUCUACAACAAACUCCACGGUAUGUUCACAAUCCUAUAUAAAUAUUUUAAUUUAUCACUUAUUAUCUUUCUUGAAUAAUAUAGAUAAGAUUUUGUAAGAGAGAUUUUUUGCAUCUAUAUUAAUUUUCCAGGUGAGAUACCGCACGAAAUCGCUAAUCUUCCAAAUCUAGAGGCUUUAGUACUUGGAAUCAACAACCUAGUUGGUGUGUUACCAGCUCCCAUCUUCAACAUGUCAACACUGAAGGUACUUAUCCUCAUAAAUAACUCUCUCUCCGGAAGUCUUCCAUCAAGAAUAGACCUUUCACUUCCAACUAUUGAGCAUCUUAACUUGGGACUUAAUAGAUUUUCUGGAACCAUUCCUAGUUCCAUCACCAAUGCUUCUAAGCUCACCUUGCUAGAAUUGGGAGGAAACACAUUUUUGGGAUUUAUUCCAAACACAAUUGGUAAUUUAAGAAACCUUGAGUGGCUCGGCUUGGCUUUUAACUACUUGACAUCUUCAACCUCAAAAUUGAGCUUUCUUUCCUCUUUGGCAAAUUGCAAGAAAUUAAGAGUCAUAAACUUAGCAGGCAAUCCACUUGACGGCUUCCUUCCAAGUUCAAUAGGAAAUCUUUCUAAGUCCUUGGAAACACUUGUCAUCACCAAUUGCAGUAUUAGUGGCAACAUUCCUCCAGCAAUUGGCAAUUUAAGCAACUUGUUGGGCUUAGUAUUAGAAGGCAAUAAAUUGACUUGACCAAUUCCAAUUACAUUCGGCCGACUGCAGAAACUCCAAAACUUAGAUCUCGCAUUCAAUAAGUUGGUAGGUUCAUUCCCAGAUGAGCUUUGCCAUCUAGCAAGGCUGGGUCAAUUGGUCUUAUUUGGCAAUAAGCUUUCAGGAUCUAUACCUUCAUGCCUAAGUAAUCUCACUUCUCUAAGAUCUCUCUAUUUAGGGUCCAAUAGGUUUACUUCUGUUAUUCCCUCAACUUUCUGGAGCUUAAAAGACAUCUUGUUCGUUGACUUUUCAUCAAAUUUCUUGGUUGGUCCUCUUUCUUUAGAUAUAGGAAAUUUGAAGGUGCUUGUAAGAAUAGAUUUAUCAAAAAAUAACUUAUCCGGUGAUAUCCCAGCCACAAUUGGAGGUCUAAAAGGUCUUCAAAUUAUGGACAUAGCAUAUAAUAGAUUGGAAGGCCCAAUUCCUGAAUCAUUUGGUGACUUGAUAAGUUUAGAAGUUUUGAAUUUGUCAAAUAAUAAAAUCUCUGGGUCUAUUCCAACAUCCAUGGAGAAACUGUUUUUCCUCCAAGUGUUAAAUCUCUCUUUCAAUAAACUAGAAGGUGAGAUUCCUAGUGGAGGAAUUUUUGCCAACUUCACAGCUGAGUCAUUUAUGGGAAAUGAGUUAUUGUGUGGUUUACCAAAUCUUCAAGUCCAACCAUGCAAAGUUAGCAAGCCGAGGACAGAACAUAAAUCAAGGAAAAAGAUACUUCUCAUUGUGAUUGUUUUGCCAUUGAGUAUUGCUCUAACGAUAGCAAUCACUCUAGCUCUCAAAUCUAAGCUGAUCGAAUGUGGAAAAAGAAGCACAGUGUUGUCAAACGAUAGUGUCUUGUCAUCACAAGCAACACUAAGAAGAUUUUCAUACUUAGAACUUUUACAAGCAACAGAUAAUUUUGCUGAAAACAACAUAAUUGGCAUAGGAGGUUUUGGUUCUGUUUAUAGAGCAAGACUUGAAGAUGGGAUGAAGAUUGCAAUAAAAGUGUUUCACCAGCAAUGUGCAAGCGCAUUGAAAAGUUUUGAGGCUGAAUGUGAAGUGUUAAAAAAAAUUCGCCAUCGAAACCUUAUCAAAGUUAUCAGCAGUUGCUCGAACGAUGAUUUCAAAGCAUUAGUCCUAGAAUACAUGUCCAAUGGGAGCUUGGGGGAUUGGCUGCAUUCUAGCAAUUAUGUGCUGAAUAUAUUUCAAAGGUUGAACAUAAUGAUUGACGUUGCAUCAGCUUUAGAAUAUCUCCACUUCGAUCAUUCAACUCCUAUUAUUCAUUGUGACUUAAAGCCUAGUAAUGUAUUGUUGGACGAACAUAUGGUUGCUCAUUUGAGUGAUUUUGGCAUAGCAAAGCUUUUAAGUGGAGAAGAUGAGUCAACGAUGCGAACAAAAACCCUUGCCACUAUAGGUUAUAUGGCACCAGGUUUGCUUCAAACAACUUUUGUUGUUAGUUCAUUUUAAAUUUUCCAACUUAUUGAUUUUUACGAUCCUCACAUCAAAAUGUUAUUGAUUAUUUAUCUAAUUGUGAAAUUAAUUUGAUUCAUAGAGUACGGCAUAGAAGGAGAAGUAUCUACAAAAAGUGAUGUUUACAGCUAUGGGAUUAUGUUGAUGGAAACUUUUACCAAGAAAAAACCCACAGAUGAAAUUUUUGUCGGAGAAUUGAGCUUAAAGCGUUGGGUUAAUGACUUGCUUCCUACUUCAUUAGUGGAAGUUGUGGACAAAACUCUGCUAAGUGGAGAGGAAAAACAUUCUGCAGCAAAGGAGCAAUGUCUGUUGUCUAUCUUUAGCUUGGCUCUGGAGUGUACAAUGGAAUCACCGGAAAAGAGGAUUAAUGCAAAAGAUAUUGUUACCGGAUUACUCAAGAUAAGAGACGCAUUGGGUAAAAGGAUAGGAAAUUUAAGUUAAUUUCGUUUGCUUUCAUUGAUAGUUAAUCUGAAUUCAUGUAAUAAGUGUAGGAAUCUUAUAUCUUUUCCUUUGAUAUUUUUUUUUUCUUGAGAAAACUGUUGUAGUCAUCUUGUUUCCAUGGGCGGAGUUGACUUAGUUCUUCCAAGAAAUGCUACUGAUGAUCUUUGUUAUAUACUUUCUCUUUUUUUUGCAUGCGUUUAGGUAGAAUAGUGGUCUAGCUGCAGGCUAAUAUGUCAAGCUACGCCAAAAGCGUAUGAUUUAAUUUACUAAACAUAACUUCAAGUUCAAGAAGUGUUUUUCACUGCCACCAAUGCUUUGGACACCUGUUGGAAGGUUUGUUGUCCUCAGCUUUUGUUUAGAGCAAAAGUUCGAGUCCCAUAAAGGCUCACACAUUCCUUUCCUUCAUCGCGAGGUGAAGAAAUUAGAAUGACAACUGGGACAUAUAUAAGAGUGAAAUAAUUAAAAAAUUAUGCUUUUUUGUUUCACCGAAGUACUGUGAAAGAGAUUAAUUUACAGAAACUGAAGCCAAGGGUUCAAAAAAAAAGUGCAAAGAGAAUAAUUGUAUUAGUAGCACAAUGUCAUAGAGAGAUCAAUUAUAUUAUUUACGGCUGGUAAGGACUAAGAAUUGAUGUAGCUAGAAUGCGAAGAUGAUAAGGUAUGUUGUGCACUAUUGUUUUAUUCUAUAAUCAAUCUUGACCCUUGAUGCUUGGCUCUCAAUCUUGUCCAUUGAUCUUCUCUGAUUUUGGAGACUUGAAGACCUUUCAGUAUCAUGCCUUGUUGUUGGUGUCUUCCAUGCUGUAGAACCGCCGACUUGCCAAGUAUUUGUUCAUUGACGCAUUUUAUCAAACAGUUGGCCUGCUCAUAGCAAAUAGCUCCUCUUUUAGAGCUUUCGAAUUCAUGCCAAUUAAUUUUCAACUAGGCUAUUACCACAAUAAACAUUUAGAAAUCUAAAUUUGUUCAUUAUAUAUUCUGAUCAUCACUUGAACAUCCAUGCAGACUCCUAUUAAUUAUAUCCUCUAAUGGAGAGAACUCAUUGCCUCAGUAUGAUCACUGUGUCAUCAACCCACUGCCCGCUUCUUUGCUUGGUUGUUGCAGCAAGCAACAAUAUUACCACAGAUCAACAAUAGUUUGUCCAUUUUUUUCAGUAAGGUCGUCAUUAAAAAUUAAUUUUCAUAUUGAUUUUCUUAAUUAUAAAUAAUACUAAUGAUAUUUCAUAGUUAUAAAUAUAUUAGAAUUAAUCAAAAUCAUUUUUUAGUGCGGCAUGGCUAAAACUACCUUUUUUUUUUUUUUUAUAAGUAAUUACUACUUUAAGGAAAAUACUCGUAUUUUCAGGAAAAAGUCAAGUACCCGUAGUUGUGAAGACUCGAGCUCACCCUCUUAUGAUAAAUCUUCAUAUCAAUUACAUAAAUAUCCUCUAAAUGUUUAGUUAACUAUUCAAAAUUCGAUGUUAUAUGGGUAUUUCAUUUAUUUGAGUAGGGGUUAGGGGUCAAUUGGAUACAAAUUCAAAAUUAUCCUUACUUGAGAAGGUGAUAAACAUUGGGGAUUUAGUUUGGGUGUCAUUAGCUACAAAUAUUAAACUCAUACAUCUAAUUCAAAAUUGCAUCCAGGUUCAUUGCAGCUAAGGCUUGUGGAAUUUCAUCAGUAAGAUGUGAGUAGUCAUACCUACGUCGACAUUCAAUGGCUGUAUGUUUCUGUAAAUGACAAAUUUGGCAUAUGACAGUUUCUUCAUUGACUUCCUCAGCUUGUUGUUUGGAUUGAUUCUGAAUUUUGUGCCAAGGCUGUCCAGAAUUAUUUUGUCGAGGUUGCUGCCACUGUUGUCCCGAAUUUCCUUGCCAUGAUUGUUGCCCUUGUUGACUUGGAUUAUUGUUUGAUUUUUGCCAUGGCUGACUUGCAUUAUUAUUCCAACUUUUUCCACCAUUGUAGUUGAUUUUUUGACCACUUGAAUCAGCCAAAUUUUGUCCUCCUGCUGCUGUAAAACCACGACCUUUUGAGUUAAAGAAACCUCCAUUUCCACGACCUUUUCCCUUGCCUCAUUGGCUAAAAAAGGCUUGAGCCAGAUUGAUUGUAUUCUUCUUUUCUUCUUCAAAAUUAAUAAGAGUUUGUUCAUGAUUUUCGAGGGCCAUGACAAACUGCUUAAAUGAGGGAUAAGGUGGUUUCGAAAGUUGAGCAAGUUUGAAGUCUUGAUACCUGUAGCCAAGACCUCUUGCAAGACCAAAGACUUCAUCUAAGUCAUUCACUGGCUUAUUUAUUGCAGCCAAACAAUCACAGAUAUGCUUGUAUUUGCGCACAUACUCUUCAACUGAUAGAGAUCCCUUUUUAAACCGAGAGAAUUACUAUAUUUACACAAUUAACCUUGGCUAGAAUUAAUUGUGCAGAUUGGAUGAUAACUAGAGAAUAGAAAUGAAGAAAAGGAAGCACACAACACCGAGAAGAGUAAUAAUUAAUGCUGCCAUUGACGAAAUGUUUUAUAUUACUCUUCUUUCUUGGUAUUUAUUUAUUUACAAUUUUUAAUGUAAAUGUACAGUUGUUGGGCUAAUAUCUUAUUUACUUUUGAACGUAUUAGAUGCCUUUUUUUUUCUUGGUUCAUAAUAAUUUUGUAGAAAUUCCUCAAGUUUGCCUAAAUGAUAGCACAUAUUCAUAAUUGGAUUGAUUGAGUAAUAAUAAAAUAUAUUUAUUUGGCAAAUGGCAGUUAGGCUUUCUUUUGAUGCAGAUUAAUUAGAGAGAAUAUAUAACAAUUUUAAGCUCGUCAGAUUCGGAAGCUGCUUAUCUGUCGUGUGGGGAUCACUUCCGUGUCUUAUUUUUCUAGAAAAAUCUGGACCAUUGGAUUUCCCAUUAUUCAAUAGAUAAAUGUUUGAUCUUGAUUCUUGAUUAAGAUCGAAGUUUGAUUCUAACCAACAUGAUGUCAGAUUCAGAUUGCGAAGCAAGCAAAUUGAAAGUAACUUGUUCUAUUUUGAUAAACACAAGUUCUAAUAAAACAUUCUCAUAGUAAAGUGAAUUACCAUCCAACGAUCCAACUCAUGUUUUCAAAUUGUAAAUUGCAAAUCGUGCGUUUGCUCCAUUACAGCGUUUCUUCAAUCUGAAAUAGAGAAUCAUUUGUGUUUUGGAUUAAUCGUGGGUCUAUAUCCAAAUCUAAAAAUUGACUAAUUUAAUUUCUAUUAAAUUCUUAAUCCUAACAAGAAAAAUUGAAGAUUAAAAACGACUAAUUUGGUACCAUACCACUAUUGUAACAUAGGUAGAUCCUCUAUUAAUUGGAGUAAAGAUUGAAUUAUCUCAUUUAUUAAGGUUUAUCAAAAUCUUGUGUCAAAAUCUAUUAAUGAUAUAGGUUCAAGGAUGAAAGAGUCACUUCAUUACUUUUGAGUUCCCAAAUAGAUGAAUGGAUGUUAUUUUUGGAUUCCGGAGAGUCGAAAAUAUUAGGAUAGGUGCUAAAUCGAAUUAAGUUGUAGAUAAGAUAGAAAUGGAUUUGGAGAGAUUGGAAUCCUAGGUAAUCCGGUGCACGUUGUCGUGUUAAAUUCUCGUUGACUUCACGUUGACUGAAGCAUUAUUGGAAGAAACAAGUUUAUUGAUGUGAGGCCUUUGAGAUUGUAAGUGUUAAAUCUGAGAAGAAUACCCACACAACCAUUAUCCUAUUACUCUUAUAUCACGUGAAGAGAAUUCAACAUUUGAUUCACACGGAAAAAAUUUGUGAGGAUUGUGAGGGUUGAUGCAAUAUAAUUUAGAUACAAAGUGUUUACCAGUGCGAUGCUUCGCAAGUGUUCUUGAAUCAAUAUAAACUCACGUUAUUUUCAUAGUGAUUGUUUCAUCUGCACGUGGAUAUAAUCACAUGUCGAGAUUUUUUUUUCUUAAAUUAUGGUCUUAUUUAGUAUUGCGGUGUUAUAUCUUUUAAGGUACAAUUAUUGUUGGAAAAAAGUUGCAACUAUUAAAUAAAAUUAAUACUAUGUGCUAAAUAUAAUUGUUAAAUAAUAAUUUUGACAAAAUUAGUGAAGUUAUGUAGAUUUUUUUUCAUCAUACAAGUAUAAAAUCAAAUCAACUUAACUUCUAAGUUCUAUAUCAGCUACUGUUUAUCAUAUGUUUUAGUUCUGUAACUUUUAAGUUAUAGUUACCCAACCUCAAUUCUAAACCAGACCUAUAAAGAUCAAAGAUUUCCUCAUUAAAUUAUAUGUCUUGUGAUUGCUUAUUUAAUUUAUAUUUUUUUUAUUUAUCUUUAUUAAUUAUAAUCAUCUUUUUAUAAAUUAAAAUUGAAGGAAGUUGAUUGAUGUUGUUGACACACACACACACACACGCACGCACGCACGCACUCACAAAGAUCACCACAAGAAAAUAGAGUAUUGGCUACAAAUUCUAUUGCAACAAAACUUACUUUAUUGCUAAAAUUCAUAUCUUGCAACAAAAAUUAGUCUUUAUCGCUAUAGCUAAACAGAUUUUAUUCUUCUUAAUGAUGUGGAAUAGGCAAGAAAAUUAGAAUAUAUGGCAACAAAAUAUUUUCUUGCCCUAUGCUAUGUUUGGCAACAAAAGUGUUCUUGUUGCCUAACAAGCUUAAUGAAGGCAAAAUAUGUUUCGUUGCUCAAGUUUUUCCACAACAAACACUUGAAUCAGUUGCAACAAAUGAAAUAUUGUAAAAGGUUGUGAUUAGCGAGAAAAUUUGUUUUGUACUCUCAGAGUUUUUUGCAACAAGAUUAAUUUUGUUGCGCAAAGGUUAACAAAAAUAUUAAAUUAAUAAAUGAAAAUAUAAAGAUAAUAUAAAAGCAAACAUGACUUUGUGGGAGGCUUUUUAAUUUUUUAUUUCCGCGCCCUUUAUUUAAUAAACCGCGUGCUAACCGAAGUAAAGUUUCCAUCUCCAAUUUUUUCUUAAUUAAAAUAUUGCUUCUAGAAUAUUUCCACUUUACUCUUCGCUUGUUUCUUUUGCCCUGCCUUGGAGUCAUUCUCUCUGGCCAAGCUUUAAGCCAUUGAAGAGUUGUACUUGGAAGGCACCACUCAAGACAACGAUUUCUUCAAGUAAAUUUAGUUUUAUUUUAUAUAUUGGCCUGUUGAGUUUGAUUUUGUUUAGUGGGUUUUGCUUUAAUUAUUUAUUAAGUGGGUCUUUGUUUCAAUUUUUAAUUUGUUAAAUUAAAGUUAAUGGAUUUUUCAUGGUGAAGAACUUGAGUUUGUGGACAAUAGUCAAAUGAAUGUAGGAUCUAUGCCCAGUAAUAGGAUCUUUCAUGUUAUAAUUUCUUUGACAAAAUUAUAGUUAUAUUGAUUUAUUUUUAUGUUGAUUAUUAAUAAACUCUAAUGUAUAUUUUUAAUAAUUACUAGAUGGGUCCUGGACAUAGAGUUACCAAACGUGUAAGAGCAGAAAUUGUUGUCGCAUCUACAAUUCCCCAAUCUCAGCCUGUUAUGCCCAGCCAAGAGUUUGUGCAAGGUGUUGUUACAACUCUAGAAUUUGGUACUUAAAGAGUUUAAUUGGUAGGUUUUGUUUGAUCGACUAUUAGUAAGUACUUAUGAUUAUUAAUAUUCUUCAUCUGUCAUUUUUUUUAAUUAUAAACUGAGAUAUCUUUUUUUCCUAAAUUCAGUCAAAUUUUGAGAUUGAUUUGAACUUACCACAUGUUCGUCGAUGUGUGAAUAACAUUAUGGGUGGGAGAUAUCAUGAUAUGAGACAUUGGAUGUAUGAUCAUUACUUGGAUUAUCCAUCCUUUGAAGAGGCACUUAAGCAUUCAUAUCCAGGCAUAUGUCCAGAUGAUUGGGCUUGGCUUUGUCAUAACAUUUACAAUUCCGCAAGUUUCCAGGUCCAAUGAUAUUCAUAUUAUGAACUUUAAAUUGUCCAACUAGUUGUCAAUAUGCUUGUAUAUGUAUCUUAUUUUCCACUGUUAUAUUUUUUUAAUGUAGACUCAAUCUACCAAAAACAAAGCUAAUCGUGCUAAGCUUCCAUAUGUCCAUUGUGGGGGAUCAAGACCUUUUGUUAAUUAUCUUGAGGAUGACAUGGUUGAUGGUGAAAUAGAAUUAUUUCGCGUCACUCAUUUCAGCAAGACAAAAGGUUGGGUGAAUGAGGUGGCACACUUAAACCAUGUAAGAUGCUUUGUUGGAAACAAAAUUUUUAAUUUUAUUAUUUCUUAUCACCUACAUACUGUUGAUGAAAGUUUACUCAUUGAGUUUUUUUUCUUAAUUUUUCUUUCAUGCUCUAAUUAACUUUAUUAUUUGAAAUAUCAAAUAAUUAGAUUUAUAAGUAUAACAACAAGUUUUUUUUUUUUUCAAUUUAUGUCUUAAUACAAAUUAAUUCCAUGACCAAUGGAUUAAAUUUCAACUAUUUAAUUAAUAAAAUUCUUUUUUUUCUUCCUUCGUUUACUAACAAAGCUUUACGUAUAGGACCAAAUGGUAGAGAUACAACAACAACAACAAAUAGAUCCUCAAGAAGCAAAACCACUAACUCAAAGGGAAAUAUGCAUUGAAGUACUUGGAAAGAAAACAUGCUAUUUUCGAGGACUUGGCAACGGACCACGCCCAACUUCAAACCAUGGUGUUGAUACUUCUGAGGCUGAUAGAUUGCAUGGUAUUAUAUCUUCACAACAAAGUAGAUUGGAUUCACAAGAUGUUGAGCUUCAAGAACAAAAGAAGACUAUUGAUCAAUUGGAGUCCAGAUUGUCCCAAUUUGAGGGUAUGAUGCAGCAAUUUUUUUCUUCUCAAGGAUCCGCUUUUCGCUUUACAGAUUCAGCUACUCAAUGAUUACUCAUUUCAAUGAUGUCCUUAGAGUAUCUUGAACUUGUUAGUAUUUUGAAUUGGUCAUCACUUGAUCUUUUUGGUUACUGCUGGUGCAUGUCAUAUCUUUAAGGAUUUGGAGUUUGGAGCAGUUGUAAUUAGAGAUCGUUUAUAAUUUUUGCUCAUUACAUUUUUGGGAUAGAUGACAAUCCACUUUUGUAUUUGACUAUCAUAUGUGAUUCUUAAAGUCAGUUUUGUAUAUAUAUAUAUAUAGCUUGGAUACUGAAUGGGCCUUUAACUUUUAAAUUAGUUCAAUGACAUUAAUGAUUUUUUUGUUAGAUUUCUCAACAUAUAUUUGUAGUUUAUUAUUGUCAUGGUGGGGGAAAAAAUUGGUAUCUUUCCCAACGAACUUGGUUUGCUUCCUUUUAUACCAUGAUAUUAUUAAAAAAAAUUGUACUAUUUUUUAAUGACAAAAUUGAUUUGUUUCUAAAAAUAUUUAAAUAUUUAUUGCAAAUUUGUAAAAUUUUCAACAUAAAGAAACAAAGUAGUUUUGUUGCCUAAAAUGAUCUUAGCUAACAAACACCUUUGUUGGUACACGUUUUUUUUAUAAAAUGUACUUUAUUUCUUAGCAACAAAUUAGUUUUGUAGUAAAUAACUAUAUAGAAACAAAAUUAUUUUGUUGUGUAAAACUGUUUAGCGCAACAAAAAUGUUUGUUGCCAAAUUAUUCUCUAAACAAGUUGAAGACUCCUUCACAACGAAUCUGUUUUGUUGCGAAAGGAAGUUUGAGGCGAGAAAUGUUUUGAUAUGUUGUUAAACAUAGAGGGCGACAGUGCUAGGCCGACGACGGGCCGACAAGCUUGUUUUUGUAGCAAUAACCUAUGGCAACAAAAUUGGCACUUUAGGCAACAAAAUCUUUUUGUUGCAAAAAGCCAUUUCUGUUGUGGUGGAUAUAUUGGAAGUGCUUAAUUACGUCGACUCGAAGUUGUUGGGAAUUAAUGCAUGUAUUGAUUUAUUGGGAGUGUUUAAAUGAUUUUGUGAUUUACUUGAUUGAUUGAAUAUUGUUUGAUUGCUUCAUAUCCAUUCUACAAAGUUUAUUUCUUUGUGAAAUUUCAACGAAAUAUGUUUUUUUUUUUUUAAAUAAGGGUGUUCUAAAUAAUUUUAAAAAAUAUAUGGACUAAUUAGAAUUAAUUAUUAGGUAAUUAACUCAAUCUGUACAGGGUGAAACAACAUUUAUCCUAAUUAUAUCAUGAUAAAUACUUUUCUGAUUAGAAUUAGGAAAUCAUAGGUUUAUUGAAUUGUUUUUUUUUUCCUUUGCGGAAACGGAUUAGAGAAUUAGAAAACAAUCAUGUUGAUGUCAAAAUCUGAUCUAGUCGGUUAGCGACUUAACAUCAUAUUACUGCACCAGUAUUAAAUUUAUUUGGUAGAGAAUCGGCUGGUCAAUUGUCAAGAUGUCCUGCAAUCACUAGCGAUUAACCUACGAAUACAUGAAAUCAUAGAAGACGGUAAGAGCCACCAGAAGUUUUUUCGUCGUGAAUCUUCUGACGCUCAAGUCAGUUUAUAGGUUUACCAUAAUAAAAAUAAAUAAUUUCUAUUUAAAACAAAAAAUAGAGAUCAAAAGCUCAAAAAUAAAACCCAAUCCCAAUAUGAAAAUGAAUUUCUUUUUUUUUUUUAGCUUGGCCGAAUCCUUCUGCCUCCUAAAGAAACAUAAUAGAGGAGCAGGUAGCCAUGUUCCCUAGGUAACGCCCCACUCCCCUCUUUUAUUCCUCCCCCUCUCUUCCGUUUCCUUCUUUUGCUCACUAUCCUUUAUAAUUUUUUAUGCUUGUCUUCCCAAAAUAGCCUUUGAAUACACAAGUAAAUGUCUAGGCUUUGGUGAGGAUAGUUUGGUUAUUGCAUUUUACAAGUAAGAUGAGUGGUGGAGAAAAAUGAGGAGUGCAUAUAACUCUUCAGCAAAUCCCACCAACAAUUCAAUUUUCUUAAUUAAUUAAUCUCCUUUUUUAUCCCCAAACAAAUCCUAAUGAUACUAUUAUCAGGUUUAAAACAGUACAUAAAUAGUGAAAAGCUAACUAGUCUGUAGAGUAAUUGCUAAUUGCUUUCUCCUCUCUGAGCGCGCUGAAUAAUUUGUUGCAUGCAAACUUUUUAUUAUAUGCAAAUCGUACGUACUGUAACAUUGGAAUUGAUGUAUAAGCAAAAAUACAAGAAUAUUUAUGUCAAUAAAAAUAGUUUUUUUUUCCUUUUUAAAUAAACACAACGCGAUGUUGCUCUUCUCUACAUUUUUGCUAUCUCUUUAUUCUUUUUUUUUUUUUUUGGGCUUCUUAAAGCCUCAAACUUUGAUAACCAAAACUUCAUCGACCUAUGAAAAAAAUCUGCAGAUUAGUUUUUAUUAUCGGAAUAAUUGUUUGAGAAUACUAAAACAAAAUAUAAAAUAAGAAAAUAGGAGGUUAAAUUAGAGGGGGGGGAAAAAGGCAUGUUCUAUCGAUUACUAUAGUUUAAGGGAAAAAAAAAUCCAAUUGGGAAUUUUUUUCUUUAAUUUUUGUUUUACUUGAUUGAGAUUUCUCCUUAGUCCUUACAGUUUUAAGUUUGGAUGCCGUAGGGUUAGUAAUUUAGUACUUCCUUUGCAAGCUGAGUGCAAGAAUGAAAAUCUUUUAAGAAAUUAAAAAAGAUUAAAAAAAAGCAUACCAAUAGGUAAUUAUAAAUAACCAUAAAUAAACAUAAACAAAAUGUUUAUGAAGUAAAUUACACAUGCACAUAUUUUUUUUUUGUUUUAUUUCUUACUUGUCUAUUUUAUUUGCUGCUUGAUAACCCGUAAAUACUAAUCUAUUACUGCUAAUUCCAGACACAAAAUUUUUAACUCUAGGCUGCAGUUUUACUCAAAAUGAUGACCACUGGCUUCGCACCAUUUAACCGGCAUACAUUUCUACAAAUUGAACAAGGCUAUUGAUUUUCAUUAUUAUUUUUUAUUUAUUUAUAAAUUACUAUUUUAAUUUUCACUUUUUAUUGGGUUGUUUAACGGAUUAGUGAAGUUGGUGGUCGUGAUGCACUCACAAGGUACAAUUUUAUUUUAUAAUUUCAAAUUUGUAUUUUAAAAUACAGGUACAUUAUGUAUACAUAAUUAUUGAUUUUCGUAUGUGGGUGUUUUGAAAUAUUGCUAAAAGACCAAACUUUAAUAAACUAUUUUUCAUCUUUUUUUUUCCUUUUUUCCUAGAGUUUGAGUGAUAUCCGCAUUUUAAAUUCAUGAGGAACAAAAGCUAAUGUAUGCACAAAAUUCUUUUAUUUUUUCCUAGAAAAAUGGGUAAGAGAAGAAGAUUUUUCUCUUGAAAAAGAAAAACUAAUACGAUGCAAGCAUAGGAAAGAGGUCAGUGUUUUUGGAUUAGAAUUUAGUAUUGAGCUGAAUUUUAUACUAAACUCUUUUGUGGUGCUGCGAUUAAUAAACUCAUGAUUUGCUUUUGCUUUUACUUCAAGUGAAAGAAAGAGGAAACCUUUUGUUUUUUGUUUGAUUCUUGACUAUAGAUGUUACCUAUAUAGAGAGUUGAGGUAUCUGCCUUAAGUGAUGGUGAUAAAAAGAUUAAGCAGCGCACACAAUCUUACUGUCGUCCAGACCAUCCAGCUGUGAUGACUCUAGUUUUUUGGUUACAUUAGCUUUAGUGGAAAGGAGGGCCAAUUUAACAAAGACUAGAUUUGGUGGCUUACUAUAAUGCUUAUUCUCAGGGAAUCUAAUGUUAUAAGAUGAUUUAAUGAUCUUCUAUGAUUGUGAGUAGUAUAGUAUAAUUGAAAAGAGUCUGGGCUUCUAUGAUGAAUAUAUAAUAUUAACACAGUACUGUGAUUGAAAAAAACACAGUUACAAUAUACUCUUCAUUUAUUCAUUGCGGAGAUUAAAUGGCAAACAGAGAAUAAAAUGAAGCAGAGGGAUCUCAUUGCCAGUAAAAUUGACCCUCUUUAAUGUUAUAUGGCACAGGUGUGUGUACAGCAAGAGCAAGUUACUUGCAGUUUUUAUUGUAAAAUAUACAGGUUAUGACCAUGAUCAUUGUAGUUAGGUUUUGAUGAUUUUAGAUGCUUUUUUUAUUUUUUUAAAUUGUGACACCUUUGAUUUAUGGUAGUUUUGCAGAAGAAAAAAAUAUAAAUAAAAAUUAGGAGGGAUGAGUUAACUAACGAUUGCAAUCAUUACUGUAAUGUUGAUGAGUGAUACAUCAUUUGAAAUGUACUUGUCAGUUGCUGAAAUGAUGAAAAAAAACAAUAAACAAUAGCAGUAAUAUUUUUAUGGAAAUUCAUGGUUUUUAUGGAAAUACUCUUGCUGAAAUUCUAAUUUUGACUUUCAACUCUUGGUUUUUAUGGAAAAUAAAAUGACUUGUUUAUUAUAUUCAUACAAUCCACUCUACAUAAUGAUUUCAUUUUAAUAAAUGCUUGAUGAUCUCCACUGAAAAACUACUUCAAUUCUUUUGUUUUUUUUUAACUUUUUGGUUGUUGAAAAUAGCCUUAAUUUUCAAAUAACUGGAGAAAGAGUAAAGAACAUUUAACAAAUUUAUGUGCCAAAAAUAAAUGAGAAAUUGAAGAGAAAGGGUGCUUGCAGAAGUGGGUGCAAAGAUAAAUUAGUCUAUAAGAAUUAUUGUGGUUAUUAAUUUUUUGGCAAUAUAAAAAUUUUUCAGCAAAUAAAAAUUGAUUUUUUCCGAUUUACUAAAAAAUUAAUUAAAAACUUUGGCGAUAGCAUUUUUUAUGGGGCAUGUACCCUCCCUUUUAAAAAAAAAUAUAAUAAUUAAUACUUAAUAUAGUAUUAAAUACGAAAAUCUCAAUAUUUGACUACACAAAUUUAUAUCAUUAGGUCCUUAAAAUUUAAAAUUGAAGACACAUAAUGAAAUAUAUAUAAAUUUUCAACCUCAUAGGAAAUGAUCCUCUUAUAAUCUUAAAAUAUUUGAGAUUUGAAAGAUUUUUUAAAACAAAUGUACUUUUAUUUUUGUACAAUCAAUAUUUACUUAUUUAUUAUAUUUUUAUUCAUUAACUAUCAAUCAUGUGAGUAUAUUUACUCAAAAAUAUCAUAUCAACGGAGCAUCUUGAUCCCACGCACACGCAAAUAUGUUAAUUUCUAUACGCUUCACUUACCUCUAGAAUCAAUUAUCUAAAAUGCAAGUUUGUGGCCACAAAAAAAGCCAAAGAAAGAAGAUAACAAUUGACUUGUAUAUUAUACUCAUACAAUCCACUCGACAUAAUGAUAUCAUUUUAAUAAGGCAAUGGCUGAUGAUCUCCAUUGAAAAACUAAUUCAAUUUUUUUGCUUCAUUUAACUUUUUGGUCGUUGAUAAUAACCUUAAUUAUCACAUAAUUGGAGAAAGAGUAAAGAACAUUUAACAAAUUUAUGUGCAAAAAAAAAAAAAAAGGAGAAGUUGAAGAGAAAGGGUGCUUGCAGAAGUGGGUGUCAGAGAAAAAUCGGUCCAUAAGAAUUAUUGCGGUUAUUUUUUGGCAAUAUAAAAUUUUAUAGCAAGUAAAAAUUAAUUUUUUUCCGAUUUAUUAAAAAAAUAACUAAAAACUUCUGCGACAGCAUUUUUAUGGGUGCAUAUACCCUCCCUUUAAAAAAAAUAAUAAUUAAUGCUUAAUAUAGUAUUAAAUACGAAAAUAUCAAUAAUUGACUACUCAAAUUUAUAUCAUUAGGUCCUUAAAAUUUAAAAUUGAAGACACGAAAAAAUUGAAGAUAUGAAAGGAAAUAUAUAUAAAUUUCAUUCUCAUGGAAAGGAUUCUCUUAUAAUCUUAUAAUAUUUGAGUUUUGAAAUUUUUUUGAAACAAAUGUAAUUUUAUUAGUGUACAAUCAAUAUUUACUUAUUUAUUAUAUUUUAAUUUAUUUAUUAUAUUUAGUCAGAAAAAUUAUAUCAAGAGAGAAUCCUAAUUUCACGCAAACACAACUACAAGACAAAUAUGUUAAUUUCUAUACUAUUCACUUUCCUGUAGAAUCAAUUAUCUAAAAUGCAAGUUUGUGGCUACAGAAAACUCGCCAAAGAAAGAAGAUAAUAACAAUUGAGCAUUGAUAGCAAAACUAAUGCAUCCAAUUCUUCUUGACUUGAUGAGAUGGCGCCAUAACGUAGAAACAAGUACCUAAAUUGACCGGCACUGAGUGAUGUGAAUACUACCAGCCAGUUCAUCUCUUCCAGUCUUGCUUAAUCACAAUCACAAACACCACGAGAUCGACAUUUGCAUUAUAUAUAUCUUCAGCAAUCGAAACACCUUGCAUUACCAAAUUAACCAGUAACAAACAAAGCAAUGUUUCAUGGAGAGAAAGCUUAGUCUCAGUAUGAUCAUUGUGUCAUUAACCCACUGCCUGCUUCUUUGCUUGGUUGUUGCAGCAGCAGCAGCAGCAAGCAGCAAUAUUACCACAGACCAACAAGCUCUUCUUGCCCUGAAAGAUCAUAUAACUUAUGAUCCGACCAACCUUUUUGCCCAUAAUUGGACCUCGAAUACCUCUGUUUGUAACUGGAUUGGCAUCACUUGUGAUGUCAAUAGCCAUAGAGUCACAACCUUAGAUAUUUCUCAAUUCAAUCUACAAGGCACCGUCCCUCCUCAACUUGGAAACCUCUCUUCACUCACAACACUUAAUCUUAGUCAUAACAAGCUUUCCGGAAGCGUUCCCACCUCCAUCUACACCAUGCAUACACUAAAAUUUCUUGACUUCACUGAUAACCAGCUCUCUGGUUCAGUUUCAUCCUUCGUCUUCAACAUGUCUUCAAUAUUAGACAUUCGUUUGACCAAUAACAGACUUUCUGGUGAGCUUCCGAAAAAUAUUUGCAACUAUCUUCCUUAUUUGAAAGCCCUUUUUUUGGACAAAAACAUGUUGCAUGGCAAAAUUCCUUCUGCUUUAUCAAAGUGCAAACAACUGCAACAAUUAAAUUUGCAGUUCAAUAAUUUAUCCGGUGCAAUACCAAAAGAAAUCGGCAACUUGACCAUGCUCAAAGGGAUAGACCUCGGCUACAACAAACUCCACGGUAUGUUCAUAAUACUAUGUAAAUAUUUUAAUUUCUCACUUGUUAAUUUUCUUGAAUAUCUUAGAUAAGAUUUUGUAAGUGAGAUUUUUUGCAUCUAUGUUAAUUUACCAGGUGAGAUACCCCACGAAAUCGCUAAUCUUCGAAAUCUAGAGGCUUUAGUGCUAGGAAUGAACAACCUAGUUGGUGUGGUAUCAGCUAUAAUCUUCAACAUGUCAUCACUGAAGGUACUUAUCCUCAUCAAUAACUCUCUCUCCGGAAGUCUCCCAUCAAGAAUGGACCUUUCACUUCCAACUAUUGAGCAUCUUAACUUGGCACUUAAUAGAUUUUCUGGAACCAUUCCUAGUUCCAUCACCAAUGCUUCUAAGCUCUCCUUUCUAGAGUUGGGAGGAAACACAUUUUCGGGCUUUAUUCCAAACACAAUUGGAAAUUUAAGAAACCUUGAGUGGCUCGGCUUGGCUAAUAACUCCUUGACAUCUUCAACCUCAAAAUUGAGCUUUCUUUCCUCUUUGGCAAAUUGCAAGAAAUUAAGAUCCUUAAACUUAAUAGGCAAUCCGCUUG
rnacentral:lncRNA from 1 species